ACGAGUAUAGUGACAAACGCUAAUAAUGCAUGUCAUGCAAUUUGGAAAUUGUUGCCAAAUAGAAUUCUAUAUGAACGGAGGAAGUAGUUGAAAAUUAAAGGCUUUUUCAAUUCAUAUGUAUUUUUACUUUUUAUAUCAUUCAUAGAGGGACCAAAACUGCAAUUAAGCCUUCACUUUUUUUGUAUACAUUUUAAAUUAAUUUUUCAAAUUUUUAUAUUUUAGUUGUAGAUAUAUGAAUCAUCAAUGAUAUUUGUAGAAUAUGUUUUCAAUCCAGUUUGAAAAGCUGCUUCAACUAAACGGAAGGUUGCUUAAGGAAUUCAAAUCUAUGAUGCGACCAAACACUUAUGACACGCCGUCUGUCACAAAUAAGCUUAUUGCUGAUAUGUUAAAUUACGACAAAGCUCAAUCGACAAAGAUAAUUGAUGUUGACUAACGAAUAGAUGAGUGUAUAUAAUAAGAUAAUGGAGUCUUCUCUUUUCGAUAAUGGUGGUUUUUUUUAUAAAGCUACAUUGGUAGUGGGGAAACGUUUAUAUGGAAAUCAUUAUCUUCGAUCAGCUCUUAGAUCCAAAGGGGUAAUUAUUUUGAAUGUUGCUUAUAGCAAAAUUACAGCUCUUUUAUUACCAUGUGGAAGAACUACAUGCUAAGCGCUUACAAUCCCUAUUGAGGUUAAGGAGUUUUCAACAACCAUGAAAAUGGGUAGUUGUGAGGAAGAACUACUUCGCCAAGCGAAAUUAUUACUUUGGGCUAAGGCAUUAAUUCUUAAUACAACUAUAUUUUUUUAAUAAAACUAUACAAUAUCACUAUUAAAUUUAUAAUUUAUAUUAAAUUUACUUUAUAUUUACACUGACUUAUAUGUGAAAUAACUUAAAUAUAAACUAAUUUUGUAUGAGAUGUAUAAUUUUGUGUAAAUUAUUUUAAAAUUUGAUUUAAAAUAAUAGAUUGAUUUGCUACAAAAAGAAUGCAAACCACAAAAGAUAAAACCAAAAUGAUUUAGGAAUGGAGAUUAAUGUUAUUACUCAGUCUUGAUCACGGAUUUCUCAAUUGAUUAAUAAAUUAAUCUAUGGCAAUAUUUUUUUUUUCCUAAGUUGAAUAAUUCAAUAAUUAUAAAUCAAACCUAAACUUUAUACAAUUGCUACUUACAAAAAUAUGAGGAAUGAUAUUUUGACAACCAAUUUUAAACAACUUUGGGUGACAACCUUUUUCCUCACUUCUUAUUGGACAAUAACAAUAGAGAAAGAAAAAGGAAGAGAGAGAAUAAAAGUACAAUAAAAAUAUGUGAGAGAGAGUUAUCAUCAAAGUUGUUAAAAAUGAUUGUUUAAAUAUCAUUUCUCCAAAAAUAUACAACAAAUUGAAUCGAUGAUAAAAUGCAAUCAACAUGAUUGUUGAUUGCAAUUUCUAAUGUGAUUUAACAAAACAAUUAAAUCAAAAUUAUUAAGAAAAUGGAUUUGCUAUAGAUCAAUCACAUUAUCAAAUUCUACAAUCAAACAUAUACAUAAUCAUCAAGUUUUAAUUUGAAUAUACGAAAAAUGUAGUUUAUACUUAAAAAUAAUCAUUCUUUUAGCUGACCUCGUCAGACAAACAAUUAGACUAUUAGGCGAGGAAGCAUCCCUGCCGAUUUAAAGCGGAAAUUCUGUUAUGCUUCGUCAUACAAUUAUGUCCAAACAAUACAACGAAAUCUAUGUUACAUUUUGUUAUUAAUUUUGUUCUAUUCCGGUAUGUUCUAUUGAGUUCCAUCAAUUUAAACCGAACUUUGAGCUCUCCUUAUUACAAUAUGCAUUAAUUGCAUUCCAUUAGUGGUAAGAAUUUAAUGGAAAAAAUUAGUACUCCGUUCCAAAUUAUAUGACGUUUUAGACAUUUCACACGUAUUAAGAAAUAUAAUUAAUUUUGUGUGGGAAAUAAAUAUUAUGAGUUGUUUUACAAAAUUGUCCUUAAUAAGUUGUAUGAGAAUGAUAAAUUAAAGAAUUGAAAGAAUAGAGAGUAAUAAAUAGUUAAGGAUAUAAUGGGAAAAGUAACAUUAAUAUUUCAUUGGUAUUGUAAAGCGAUAUAUAAUUUAGGACAAAUAUUUUUUCCAAAACGACAUACAAUUUAAAACGGAGGGAGUAUUAAACAAUUUGAAUAACAAAUUCACACAAUUUCCAAUACAUAAUUACUAUCAAUGAAAUUCUUAAUAUGUGUUCUAAGGGCACAAAUUAAUAUUUCUCUUUUCUAAUUACACUAUUGAUCAUAAUGGUAAGAGUAGUGACGUUAAAUGAACCAGGAGAUCACAUUAAUUUGAUUUUCAAGUGCCAACUACAAACAUAAUGACCCAUAAUGGUUGCAAAAUACUUGGUGGGUCCCAUAUGAAGCACGCUAGAAACCUAAUUAACGAUUGUUUAUCCCAUGAUCAUGAUAUCCCUAACACAAAAUUGUUCCCUCACUCACGCUUAUAUACUAUCAAUGAUCCCUCUUCCAUAUCCCUAAAAACCAACACACAUUUUCCUUAGCUCCAACAUUAAUAAUGGAGCUAAUGUUUAUUAUAUGGUCAAUGUUUUUAUGUGUUUUGGUUGUAACACCCCAUUGUGGCAAAGCAACUAAAGACAUUUUCAUAUUGGCAGGACAAAGCAACAUGGCUGGUCGAGGAGGUGUUUUAAAUGGAAAAUGGGAUGGUAAUAUCCCACCGGAAUGCAAACCAAACCCAUCAAUUUUAAAGCUAAAUACAAAACUCAAAUGGGAGGAAGCUCAUGAGCCUCUUCAUGCAGAUAUAGAUGUAGGAAAAACUUGUGGUAUUGGUCCCGGGCUUGCUUUUGCAAAUGAAGUUGUUAGAAUGAGUGGUGGUGAAUGUGUUGUGGGUCUUGUUCCUUGUGCAGUUGGUGGGACGAGAAUUGAAGAGUGGAGAAAUGGAUCACAUUUGUAUAAUGAAUUGGUGAGAAGAUCUAUUGAAUCGGUUAAGGAUGGUGAUGGUGUAAUUAGAGCAGUUUUAUGGUAUCAAGGUGAGAGUGAUACUGUAAGAGAAGAAGAUGCUGAAAGGUAUAAAUAUAGAAUGGAGAAUUUAAUUGAGAAUCUUAGGUUAGAUCUUCAACUUCCAUCUCUUCUUGUUAUUCAGGUUAGUUUCUUUCUACUUUUAAUGCUACUUUUUCUUUUUUUGUUGGUACAAUGUCUUUUUUGUCUUUCAUACAUCUGGAAUAUCAGUAGUGUUCAAUCAAAAUCAAAUAUUUUUUUUAUGCAUUUGUAAGUAUUGUUCAUCUGUUAUUUUAAAUUAUUAUUGUUUGUGAUUUUUAGUGCAUUGGAUUUUCUGCGUGCCAACCUACAUAGAAAAGUUGAAAAUCUUAAAAGAAGACAGGAAGGGAGCACACCUAUAUUCGAAUUUCAAAUUUCAAAACGAGCGUGAUGAAUGUAAAUGAUAGGACUUGUGACGUUUUUUAAUUUAAAAUUUCGGACGUUAGCUCAUAAUUAUCCAUCAAAAAAGUUAUUGGAGGUCCAACUAUAGUACUUUGAUAAUAUAUUAAAUAAUUUAAUUGGUUUUUCCAAUAAUGAAAUGAGGCGUCAAAAUAUAAUAUCCAUUUCUAAUCUUAAUCAGACAAAUCUUGAAAAAAACUACAAUAAUGAAUAUUUUUGUGUAUAUUUAACUUUUUCUUUUUGCACAUUGAUUGUUUUUUUUUCCUGUAAAAAAAAACUUAUUUUAUUAUACUAUCCCUUAUCUCAAUUUACCGUUUCUUCCAAUAUUUGUUAUAACGAUCAACUAGGUAAAAGCAAGAAUUAAUUAUCUAGUAAUAAUUAGUGUCGUUAACAAUCCCGUAAGCUUAACUCAGUUGAUAGGAAUAAUGUAUAAUAUAUGUAAAGUUUGGAGUUUGAAUUUCGGACACUACCAAAACAAAUUAGUAUCGCUAGCAUAUGUUUUUUUCUUCAUCAAGUGCAGGUUGUGAUAGACCAAGGUAUAGAUAUGUACCAAUAAUCCAAUCAGCAAGAAUGAAAAGCAAUAAAAUACAACUUUUUUAAAAUGAUAAAGUUAAGAGGUAAUAAAGCAACAAAUAAUCACGGUGCAACAUGGAGUCAUGGACCCUUUGUUUGAUUGAUAUAAAGAUGGAAUGGAAUGAAGAACAUCUUAUACAAAGACAACCAAUUAAUUGCAUAUUAUAAAAUGCAUAAAUUUAAAAACCAUGAUUUUGAAGAAAAAAAAAUUAACAAAUGACAUGAGCAUCAUACUUAUUAUGUUAUUUGACACCGUAGUUUAUAAAAUUGGGUUAAUAUAUGUUUAACUUAAGUAAUAUUAGUGAUUUUCGAUUUAUUCCCUGUAAAAAUAAUUGUUUAGAUUCCAACCUUAUAAUUUGAAGAUUUUUAGUUUUGGAUCUUCAUUAAUUUUGACCAUACAAAAUCGAUGAUAUAGCAAGGGGAUAAAUUGAAAUAUCAAUGAUAUAGUAGGGGGGUAAACCGAAAUUCUCUCAUAUUACAGGGGGCAAAAAUACCUUAAAUUUUGUAGUUUGAUGCCAUGAAGGUCCAAAAUCAAAAAAAAUUCAAAUUACAAGGUUGGAAUCUAAACAAUUUUUUUUACAGGAAAGUAAACCGGAAAUCGCUAAUAUUAAAGGAGGUAAACAUAUAUUAACCCUUUAUAAAAUAAAGAAAAUCACAACACUUAAAUUAUUUCUAUGCAGGUAGCACUUGCAUCAGGGGAAGGCAAGUUUAUUGAGAAAGUGAGACAUGCUCAAUUGGGUAUCAAACUUCCAAAUGUCAAAUGUGUUGAUGCCAAGGGAUUGCAUCUCAAGACAGAUAAACUUCACCUUACCACAAUGUCUGAGGUUCAUUUGGGCAUCAAGUUAGCACAUGCCUAUUUCGCUUCCAACAACCAUCAUUUUAAUUAUACACAAGUUAGCUAGUUAAUUAUGCAUUUACAUGACAAACUAAGUAGGUAGAUAAAUGAUCACACAUUUGUCACAGUCGCACAAUUCGGAUCAUCAGAUUAAGAUCGAAUAACUCACAUUUUGAUUUGGUAAAUUGGAUUUGAUACCAAGAGUGUAUGUUAUAUUUAUUUGAUAACUUUUGAACAACGUGUAGCGCUGAAUGGUUUACUCCAUUCCUCAUUAUGUAUAUUCAAUUUAUUUAUUUAUUAACAACAUUUAUACAAGUAUAAUUACUUAGUUUUAAGUCACUUUUUGGGACAUCGACAGGAAUGUUUGAAUAGGAGAAUAUGUUGGUUAGGUGACAUACUACAUUUUGUCGACAUUGACGGGAAUAUUUGAAUAGGAGAAAAUGAUGGUUAGGUGAUAUACCACAUUUUGUCAAAAAAAAUGACAUACCACAUGUAAGAGUAUGAUUUUCGCUGGAGUUAUUUUUAAUUGUUUUAAUAUAUGUUUUUAUGUGCUUGUGUGUGAUUAUUAUCAUUGGAUGCAUUUUAAUGGGUUUUAGUGCAAAGUGUAUUUUGAUCAUUUUGUGAGUAAAGGUAAUUUAGUAAAUUCAUGUGAGGAUUAUUUUUAGUGUUUUAGUGUAAAUCAUUAUUUUACUAAGUUACUAUUGUGGUAAUUAGUUGUGAGUCGGUAAAUGAUCGUUGUUAGUAUUUUACCGUUAAGUGAAUAGAAACAUUUUAGAAUUAAAGUUUGAGUGGGUUAAGCCCACUAAAGCAUUAGGGUUAAGCCCAUUUGAGUAGAGCCUAUAUAAGUUUUAGACUUGAGAGAAAAAUAGGUUUACAUUUCAUUUCACAAGAUUUGUAGAGAGAGGUAGAGAGAGAAAGUGCAAGAGAAGAGAAAAUGGUUAGAAGAGAGGAGAAUUGAAGACCUAAGAGGUGGUGGAGAUUAUAGGACUGUUCGUUUAAGCGAACGCUAAGCGAACGGGUAAGCGAACAAUCACAGUAGGUUCUGUGACUGGUUCGCUUAAGUGAACCAGAAGCGAACAACAAGCGAACUUUUGUUGUAGCUUCUGGAACUUGUUCGCUUAAGCGAACUUGCCCAGUUUCAGCCACCUUUGAUUUUCGUUCCGGGUCUUAGGGGGCCAAUCCGAGCUUUGUAAAAUGCUUCUUUCAACUUGUUUAACCUCUGUUUUGACUCAUAAAUCUACUGGAACAUGUUUUACUCAUUUCAAUUUGGGAUAUUCCAUUUUUGGUUUGAAACUUGAAUUUUUGGGAAUUUCGGAUUUUGUCGAAAUGAAAUUUUGUGAACUAAUAGGGAUUACAAGUUGUGUCUACAGUUCAUGUGGACUUAGGCAAGACUUGUAAAGUUGGCUUAAUGUCUUAAUCAUGUUAAACUUGAUUUUCGGGUGGGAAUAUGGAAAAUGUGAAAUUGGGUUUUCUCAUACGAACUUAAUCUAUUCUUUGAACUAAUGUUUAAUAGUUUGUAAGUGGUUUAAACUCGUGACUACAUGAUUGAUUAAGAUUGGUUUAUAAGCUUUCAAACUUUAAUAAUGUUACCUUGUUUUGGGAAUUAUCAAUGUUGGUCGUUUGCCACUUGAUACGGACUUUAUCGGAAAUGGUUCUUUAAGACAAUUAUCUUAUAACUCUUUCGUGACUAGCCUAUUAUGUCUAAAUGAAGGUGUGUGAAUGAAUUGUUAAGUUUUGGAUAUGAUGUUUAUCAUAAGGUGUUGUAUUAUCUCUUUAUUUGAAUAUGAGGAAUAUUUGGAGUGGUGAAACUAUAUUAUGUAGUUGAUAUUGAAGAUUAUGAUGAUGAUGUGAUAAUGACUCUUAAUUGAUUUGUGACUUGAUAGUUGUGUGGACGUAAAUACUUGAUAAUGCAAUUGUGGUGGAGGUGAUCAAUAUAAUUGGAAGUUGUCCUUUAUAUUGUUGUGAAUGUCAUGAGGUGAUUUUGCAUUGUCGAGUCUUUGCUUGUAUGUCCAUGCAUCAUAGUCAUGUUGAGUCUUGAAGUUGUAAAUGAGGGGUACUCUUUUAUUUCGGUGAUAAUGUAAGACGGGUGUGAAAUCUUACAUAUGAUGUUUUUGUUGCAUCAUGGGGUGACGACCUUGAGGUGAUUUGGUACCACAUGCAUAUAUGUGUCGGGAUUAGGAGUAUAUCAUAUUAGCAUGAGUCUUAUUUGCUGCAUUUGAAUGAUGGUUGUUGAUGAUAAGUGUAUUUGAUGAAUACAUAUUUGUGAGAAUUGGAAUUGUUGCAUGAUUGUUUAUAUUGAAAUUAAUUGCUCAUGUUUAAUUAAUUAAUUAAUCGAUACUUGAUUUGAUUCAUUUAUAUCAAAUUGUUUAUGUGGAUUAUGAUUGAUGUAAAGCUUACCCCAGUGGUUUUGACCGCCUACCUGUCUGUAUGGAUGGAUAGACGAAGUGCGUGAUUAGUUGCUUUGGUGAGUUGCUUGGUGCUUGCUUGGAUAUCGGGAGCUAUCUCCGGUAUCGGUUCCUUAGAGUCUAGGGUAGGCUCUGAUCUAGGUGUCUGUCUUAUGAUUACUCUAGAUUGUCUGUUUUGGAUUUAUUUAUGUUUGGAGAUUUACCCAUUUGUCGGGAUUUGGAGAAUUUAUAUGAUGAUGUAUUUCGAUAUCAUGACAUGUAUACUUUUGAGAUGUAUGAUCUUUAUCCGCUGCGACUGUUGGGAAUUUUUAUACAUGCAUGUUGUUUUGGAUUUUGAAUUGAUGACGUAGCGUCUAUUUCUUGAAUAUAUUUAUAUUAUUCGCGUGUUUUACCGAUUUAAUAUAAAUAGGGCGUUACACCACACAUCAAAAUGCACCACAAUGUCUGGCAAAACUGUUUUUCGCACAUACCCAAUUGCUCUCUCACAUUAGUAAAAGACCAUUAUACAUCCAACGGUAGUUAAUUGCCACUGGCUCUUACAUUGAGAAGCCGGAUGCAGUUAACUGUCGCUGGGGGUGUAAUGGUAUUUUAGUGUGAGAAAAGCAAUUGUCAAUGUUUAGUAUAUUUUGCUACUUGCUAAGCCCAUCUGGCCCAAUUUAAUUGUAUCCAAGGAUAAAAAAUGGUAAUCUCAAAUAAAUCAUGGCCUAAAGCAGUUAGGAGAUGUUCGAAGGAAAUGGUAAACUUCAAUAAAUUUAUGUUCACGUGAAUUAAUGGUGCGUGUCGAGCUGUUAUCGCCACACGAUCAUGAGGCUAAGCGGGGGAAGGUUGAGGAAAUUACGUGAAUCGUCACAAGCUUUUGGAUACAAGAUUUGAACAUACACAAACUCUUGUAAAUAAGCAAGAUUGAAGUGAUGUUAGGCAGACAAUUUCAGACUAUCAAACUUAUAGAAAGAUUUUUGUAUGACUUGGUUAAUUUUCCUUAUAAUUUGAGUGUUGUUACAGUAGAGUUGGUUUUCCAUUUCUGUGCAAUAACAUCACCCAUCUUAAGGAAUGUAUUAAGGUAUAUUAUAUUUCAGGUCAAGAGCUAAUAAAAUCAAGUUAUCAAUGUCUUUGUAUGCUUAUUUACAGGGGAGUUGAUCAAAUACUAACUAUGACUAUAAACUAUCUUUUAAUUCAUAUCAAGUGAAAAUGACAGGAGACAUUAGCAGGCCACCUUAGAUUGGACCGUACAUGAUGAGGAAAAACAAUUGCAUUUUGUAAAGGUAUGUAUGCAUUUUGGAUCAUAGCAAUUUUCAUGGAAUAAUCAUGCUCAGCAUGAAUUGGACCAUAUAAAAGCUCUGUAUUAUAUAAUUAUUACGACUGACAGAGUGUCCUUGAUCCUAGUCAGCAAGGAUAUAAGCCUCCGUAUCAAUAAAAAUAGAAUUUAUGCAUUUUUGGUUGUAUAUGGAAAGCUUGAAAGUUGAAAUUAUUUGGAAUCAUUCCGGGUAGGGUUUCAAAGAAAAUGUAUUAUCAGCAUAGUUUUAAAUUUUUGUUGCGAUUAUGCUGCAAGUUAUUUUAUAUUGCACUAAAAUGUGGUAAAGUGUGUUCGGAGUAUAUGUUGGGAGGAGAAGGGAGAGUUUAAAAAAAUAGGAUUUUGAGAGAUCUUUCUUCAUAAUACAAAAUCUUUAUAAUUUGGGAGAAUUUAAAAAUUGCGUUAGAGAAGGGUUUUGUAGGGUUUGUAUAAAUUAUCCAAAGAAAAAUGCUACUUCUCCCUAAGAAACAAUUUCACGAUAUAUUGUAUUAAAGGUCUCAAUCUGACGGUUCCAAACCAGUCGUGAUAAUUUCUUGAUGUUUUUUUUCCCACUAAAUAGCACCGCUCUUAUCCAAAUUCAAUCUAUGUUGCCGUAAAACUUUUGAUAUUGAAAAAAUUACUCAUAAACAUUCAUUUAUCAUUGUUUACAAAAAAAUAUCUCAAAAAAUGUGAAAAAAUUCUCUAUUUUUUCCCUGUUCACCUCCCCCAAAAUCAUUAUCUCCCUUCUCUUCAAACUCUCAAACAGAGCUUCAAUCUCGUUUAUUGUAACACGCAUGUAAAAAGUAUUAUGGUUAUAAGGUCAUCUUAUGCAUAGAUGACAGUUAGACCUCAUGACUCAACAAUGAUUUAAAAUCUUGAUGCUAAGAGUGUGUUUGGAUGGGGGAAUGUUUUGAGGGAAUUUAAUUACUUUGAAGUGAAUUCAAACAAUAGAAUUCACCUUAAAGUAGUUGAAUUCCCUCAAAACAUUACAUUCCCCUAUCCAAACACACUCUAAGGUUAUAUCUAUAUUUAGGAGUAUAUAAAACCAUGUCAUUAAUUUUCAUGCGUAGCAAAACUUAACCCUUUUAAAAAAUAUAUAUAUAUUUAUUUGAAGUCUCCAAAAUACGGUUAAAAUGGUAAAAGAUUGCAGGGAUAUUUCAUAACACCGGUUUGAAUAUGUAAUUCCUCAAUUUCUAACAUUUUGUGUACGUGAGUUUCGCAAUUAAAUUCUUUAGAAAGAUAAAUAUUUAUAUAUAUAUAUAUAUAUAUAUAUAUAUAUAUAUAUAUAUAUAUAUAUAUAUAUAUAUAUAUUAAUUAAUUAAAGUCAGACAGUGAAAUAAAAAUCAAGAGACUAGCAUGCAUAUAUUAGAUAAAAAAACAAAAAGAACGUGUCCUAUUACAUGAAACUUCAAGCUCAGAAUGAUGGUGGAGUAGAAGUACUGAAGUAGCCACUUCAUACCAGACGUGUCUACUCUCUAGAGCAAGCCUUCAACAAAAUAAGGAGCUAGCUAUCAUAUAGAUAUAUGCAUAUAUAAGAUCUAAAUUUGGAAGCAUUGAAUCAUGCAAAUUAUUAACAUUUUGGAAAUAAAUGUAAUGCAUGCAAUUGAUAUUCAAUAUUCAUAAUCACGGCAACAAUAAAUCUUAUAAAAUCAUCAUAAUGUAAUAAUAACAAGGUACGACUAAGCUUAAAGUGAUACUAUAAAAAGAAAAAUCUUUGUCGGGGAGAUUUGCUUUAUAUUGUAAGAUAUACAUGUGAUACUCUCUGAUAUAUUUUAACUUUUUGUUCAUUGAAGGGACCUCUUAAUGCAUGUCUAUACAAACAAGUUGCAUUAGAAAUCAAAAUAUGACAGAAAGAGAAGGUGAUCGGUGGUGUGCAGAGUAAGGCAGAGACCCACCAAGUGUAAUUUCAUGGCAAGUGAUUUGACACCAAACUAGCUAGAGUGCUUCCAACAAAAUAAGAUGUUGUAUUUUGUGGAGCUGCUAGCUUGCUCUAAAGGUUUCAAAAAACAAUGUAUAUGGCUGCAAUUUAGAUUGCCACAUUACAAUUUUUCAUACUACUAUUGUGAUUGAAGUUUUAUCUGAUGGGAAAUCGAGUACAAUAAUAGACAGCAGAAUAAAAGUAACAUAAGUUUAACAUAAAUUAUUAGCCUAUAGGGUUUACACCAACCGUAUCAACUUUUUUUAACCGUUUACCAACAAUAUUAUAACGAUGGAGUAUUCACCGUCGUUUAAGAAUGGUUAAUUUAUAUCACAGGAGAUUGAGUAUCGAAGAGAGUGUUAAAAAGAGAAUAUCAAAAUAUACAUUAUAUGUUGAACACACGCUCUGAUGACACUAUUUCAAAUGGCAAAGCAUGUAAAAGUUUCUUUAUGAAGACAAACAAAAUCAAACAUAUGUUUCAGAAGAUUUAUGAAUAGGACAUGCUGUUAGGUGGAAUAAAGAUCACCUUUAUAAUCAUUACCCCUUGAUCGACUAUAUAAUAUAUUUUAAUGAAAUGCUAUUUUUUAUUUAUGUAUUAGUAUAAAAUAAGUUCUUACAAGAUUUCGUUGGCCGAAAGCAAGACCCUAAAAUUUCGGUAUUUAAAAUUUCAAUAAUUUAAUUAUAGUCAAAAAAGAAAACAGUUGAUCACUUAAUUUAGCACACUGUCAAAUAAUGUUUCUCAAAUUACUUAAUUUAGAACACUUUCUUGUUUUAUGAUCAUCUGUCUAGGAUGGUUGGAAAUAGAUGUAGUACGUUGUUUUGGCAUGAGUCUUGGGUGGAUGGGAUGGUGUUGAAGGAGUGUUUUAGUAUACUAUUUAGUCUAGUUGUUGAUAAAAAUGUUAUUGUCAAAGAUAUGGUAAAAAAAAUAGUGUUUUAGAUAUAGGAGGGGUGGAGGUGGAGGUGGAGAAAAGCUUGUUCGAAUGGGGGGUGGAGUUAGUGGUUAGAGGAGUAUAGGGUUUUGUUGACUAAUGUUUUCUUGAAGGUUAAUUUGAAGGACCAAAGAAAAUGGAACCUUGAUUAAUUCUUCCAAUGGAAUUUACAUGCUUAAAGAAGUUUAUGCACUAAUUUUCAAUGUAGACUCAAUAGAAGAUUUAUUGAUGUGUAACGUUAUUUGAAACAAAAUUAGUACCAUCAAUGAUAUUGUUAUUUGCAUUGCGAUUGUUAAACUACGGACUAAAAUAAUUUGCUUCGUCAUGAGAUUUAUAAUAUAGAAUCUGUGAAUGGGACUUAAUAUGAAUGAAACCUCUUGACAUUUGUUUUUUGAUUUGGAAAAUCAUGGUAUGAUAUAUUGAAUUGGUUGGGAAUUAAAAGUUGUGCUAUGAUUGAUAGUAGUUUUCGUCACAUUGUUGGGAUUAUCGGUUUGGUAUCCCUUGGUAAAGUACAAUGGAAAUGUCUUCGUUCUAUAUGGAUGAUUUGUAUUUGGAUUGAUAUGGAAGCAUCGUAACAAUGUGAUAUUUGGUCUUCAGAAUCGCAAUAAGGGCUCUCUAAUUAAAUAAAUUUAUCUUGCCUUUUAAAACAAAAUACAAUGCUUAAAUAUAUUUCAAUACUUGAUAAUUUUAGAGUAUUUGAUACAACUUUUGUGACAACUUCUUUUUUCUCUCUUUUUAUUGGUCAAAAACAAUGGAGAGAGAAAAAGAAAGAGAGAGAAUAAAAGAAUAAUGUGAGUAUGAGAGAGAAAGUUGUCACAAAGUGGUUGUACAAAUAUCAUUUAUCAUAAUUUUAAUAUUUUGUAUUCAAUUUCUCAAACUUUUUUUUACUGUGUGAUAUAGUGGUACGAUCCUCUCGAAUCCAUGUUCUUCUUUUUGUCAUACAACUUGGUCACACACGUUGUUCAGUCAUCAUCAGCUUUUUAGUUAUCACGCCGGCCCUUACUUUCUUUCUUGUUUUAUUUUUGGUUCAACACCAACCACAAUUUAAUUUACCACCCUAUGCAUAUGCAUUAAUCAAGAGAGUUUUGAAAUUCUGCAAAAGCAACUUGUGGUUGUAAUGUACCAAGUACUAACAAGUGAACAAAUUCUGUUAAGAAAGCCAAAGGGAAGAACAACACUUCCAAUAUUACAUGUGGGCUCAUUUUUUCUUUUCUUAUUAUGUGAAUGUUUACAAGGGGAAUGGACUAGUGGUAAGUUGCAACCAUUUCAAGAUCCCAUUCAUAGAGGUUGCUUCUCGUGAGGGCUGUUUCAUUUAUACGUAAUACCCCAAUAAAUUUGAUUGAAUUGACUCUUGAAAUUGACUGUUCUAAAGUUAGUAGUUAAUAAAAAUGCAAACUAAAUCUACUAUCGUUUAGCAUAACGAUGUCAUGUGUAUAAAAAUCUUAAUAAGAAAACUUAAUCUAUAAGUAUCAACAAUCUUUUUUUUUUGGCAGAAAAAUCACGUUUGCUUAAAAUCACGACAAAAAAUCAUUUUAACACAGAAGCUCUAAUUCUUAACUUCUUAAAAUCACGACAGAUUUACAUUAAAUAAUGUAGUGAUGUGUUUUUUUUUUGAGUAAGUAUCAACAAUCUAUUGUAAUUUAGCAUACAUUGGUAUUCGAUAAGAUUUCGUGCCUGUUUGAAGUAACGUUUGAUCAAGCAAAAACACAUCACUACACUAUUUAAUGUAAAUCUGUCGUGAUUUUAAGAAGUUAAGAAUUAGAGCUUAUGUGUUAAAAUGAUUUUUUCGUGAUUUUAAGCAAACGUGAUUUUUCAGCCGCCCAACCAAACAUGCACUUUAUUAAUUUGUCACAUCUUACGAUCAAUUUUAAAAUACUUAUAAUUUUGAAAUACUUAUAACGACGGUCAAUAAGAAUUCAGUAUUUUGUCACGUCAUAUGAUCAAUUAACAAAAUACUUAUACUUGAGAGAUCCUUUUCCCAAACCAAUAUGUCUUUUGUUAGGUAAUUGGUAUGUCUAGAAAAAUAUGUACACGUAUUUAUCCACCUCGACGAACAUUUCGUGACAUUAUCCGUCACCUCAUUUCUAUUUGUCUAGAUGUGAUCCAAGCAGGCUCAAGCGCUAACAAUUUGAAAAGUUUGAUUCACAUGAAAUAUUUACAGUUGAAGUUGUAGCAGAGUCCCGCAUUACUAAGAAUUUUAGUAAGGUUUAUGCAUGUAGGUAGUUUUUGAAAGUAAGAUUCAAGUUGUUAACAUUUGGUAGACCCUAGUAAACUCUAGGAAUCAGUAGUGGUAGUUUUUGUCUCUAUAUUAGUUUUGGUUUUUGUUUUAUUGUUUAUCUUUUUCUUUUGUAGCUAAUCUUGUAGGCGAGAUUCAAAAUCUAUCAACUUGGUGUAGACCCUAAUAACCUCUAGGAAUCUGUAUUUGUAGGUUUAUUUUAGUUUUGAUUUUUGUUUUAUUCUUUAUCUUUUCUUUUGUAUGUGAAAUGGAGGCUCUUGCAUUUAUAACAUAAAACGAUUUCCACAUUCCAAACUUAUGGGAAUAGAGUGUUAAUAUCUGUACUCUGCUUUGAAAACAGGGGAAAGAGAAGAAAAAUGAAAGAAAAUUUGCUUGAUAAAUAAAUGAGAAGAAGAGAAAAGGUACACGAGUAUUUUAGGGGGGUAUGUCACCAGUUUUUUUUUUAUUUCCAUAAGAGAUAAAUGAAAAAACAGAUGUUGCUACUAUUAUUUCACAUUUUCUAUCCCUCUUAAACAACUAAUAAUUACAGCACAAUGCAAGUUGCAAUGAAACAACUAGUAGUAACUAACCCACCCUAAAACCCAAAUUAAAAAACAAAUCAAAGAAAGAAACUAAAUUAAAAGAAAAGGACCCAACAAUUUUCACUGGCAACUAAGUCAGUAACAAGUAACAAGAUAUUGCACAAUUGCAACAUUUUUUACUCCCAAAUUCCAACCUCCAUGAAUCCAUCCUCAGAAGCACAACCCCUAAACAUGCCAUUGCAGUUAAAUCCAUAAGCAACUUCUCCUUUACUAGAAACAGCAAUGAGUCCAGCAUAUCCUUCAUCCAAACGAUUCUUAAUGACGAAAUCCACUGCUUCUUGAAGACCAAGACCUUUGUAUUCCAUCACAGCCGACACCUCACGCGCCAAAGUGCCACGUAUGAUAGCCUCGCCUUCACCGGUGCAUGAUACGCCAGCUAGGUUACACGCGUAGGUCCCAGCUCCUAUCAAAGGUGAGUCACCAAUCCGACCAAUCAUCUUGUUCAUUAGCCCGCCUGUUGACGUGGCAGCAGCACAUCUUCCUUCACGGUCCACCACUACGCACCCGACUGUUUCAGGUGCGUAGACACUCAUUGGAAGUCCAUUCAUUUUCAUUGGACUUUCAACUGCUGCACCACAUGUUUCGUAUCCAGAUGGAAUCCGAUAAUCAAACUGCAUCACACAAUUAGUAAUUAAUUACGUUAUUCCAAUUUGAUCAUUAAAUAUGAAAACAAAUAAUUAAUUAAUUAUUGAACAACACUUUGUCUUUAUUGGUGGUUUGAGAUUUGUUUUCAACAAAGAGUUUGGUAGAUAUAAAUAUAUAUUAAAUAAAGAGAAAGUGUACUAAUUGGUCCAAACUAUGCUUAAAUAAACAUGCAAUAUUUCUUUAUUUUGUGAAAUAAUUUUCACCCACGUUUAUUUCAAUAUGUGAAAAGUGACUUUCAGAAAAAACACACACUCUGGACCUCUUUUUAACCAGUACAAUGUAAUAAUUCAAGAUUCAAGACCCAUUGUUGAAUUUGAUAAUAAUUACGUACCAAGAUUGUAUUUGCUUCCUUUGCCAGCUUAAGCAUACCAACAUUGUCAGCAGUGAUAAAGUACUCAUUGUCCAAAACCUCCACACCCUACCAAAACAAGUAAAAUAAUUUAGUAAUUUAGCACUAAUAAUAAAUUAAUAAUAAUCAAAUUAUUUAUUAGCCCAAUAGAUUCGUACACGUUCACAUAUAUUAUAAUCAACAGAUUCUCCUUAGCAAAGUUCCAACACCAAGCCAAAAACAAAAUAUCUUUUCUUAUUUAUUUUUAUAAAAAAAUGAAGAUGAAACAAACAAAAAAUACAGAGAUUUGGUUUUUGUUAACGUUGUUUAAGGAAGACACACACGUGGGAAUAGGUAAGGAGAACACGAACCUGUUGCCUAGCAAAAUCUUCAGCGCCGUUAAAAGCAAGAUAGGAAUGAGGAGAUUUAUCCAUGACUAAACGAGCCAGUGAAAUUGGAUUUUUUACCGUGGUUAAACCUGAAACGGCACCGCAUCGUCUUUUUGGUCCAUCCAUUAUGCUAGCCUCCAUUUCCACCGUUCCUUUUUCCGUCAGGGCAGAUCCACGACCCGAAUUGAAUAGUGGAUCCGUUUCCAAUUCCCUCACCUUCAAUAACAAAAAAAAAAAAAAAAAAAUUAUUAAAAAUAUUCCCCUCCAAAUUCCUUGGAAUAGUUAAAAUAUAUUUCGGUAAUCAUGUGGUUUAAAAAAAAUUGUUCAUAAUGACAAUGCAUGUAAAAGAUUCAGUAUAUUCAAUCCUGAUCGCUACGAUUCGUUAUAUUUUUAUUAUGACUGUCACGGUUAUUUGUUAUGGUAGUUAUGAAAUAAUAAUGAUAAGGGUGGAAAAGGGACAGGACAUGAUGGGAAACAUGUGUAUGUGGGUACGAGGAAGUGUGAACAAUAUUAUUAUGGUACAUGUGAGAUAGACACAACACAUACCACAAGUUCAACAACAUCGAUGGCAGAAAGAUUGGAACGAAGAGCAGAGAUGCCAAGAUUGAGAACACGAGUAAGAAGUUGUUUGGCUUCUUCUUGACGUUGAAGAGGGAGAUUAGGGUCAACACCAGCACCACCAUGCACAGCAAUUGCCCAACCACCCAUGUUUCUCUCUCUCACAAACUCUCUGAACUUUACCCUUACGGUGUUUUUGUUAUUGAUGUUUGGAGUCUGCAACAAACUAUGAUACCCAAGGGGCGUUUUUAUAGGCAAAUUCGGACUUCAAAUGUUUAUGUGUUGGAUUUGAAUUUUUUAUUUUAUUUUGAGGUCUCGUGAGUCACAACGGUUUGUUUGGUUUGGGCCAUAGGGGGUGGGUGUCCCUUCGCAGGCAGGUGCUAUUUCUUUUGAGUGGGUUCAGAUUUGUUAAAGAAAAAAAAUAUUUUUGUAUUUAUUUGGGUCAAAAUAUUAUAUUUAAUAACUUAUUUUUUGGUUGUCAAUUGUCUGUCACUUUUUAAAAAUAUUUCUGAAAGGACACUUUUUAAAAAUAAUUUUCUUUCACUUUUUAUAAUUAUAAACAAAUAAAUGAAAAUCCAUCCAAAAAUUAAAUAAAUAAAUAAAAAUACUAACAAUUUUUUUGGUAUAUAACACCGUUUUGAAUAUCAUUCAUCCUUUCCUAACAAUGAUGGGAUGAUAUUCAUAAGGGUAUUAUAUGACGUCCAACCAUCAUUCAUUGUCUUAAGUUCAAAUUAGUCAGCUUUACUACGGUCUAGUAUGAUACGUAGUUCUUGACCCAUGUUGCGAUUUGAGUUCAUUUACAAUGGAUUAACUCAUCAACAACUAUCAUUAGACCAUGCCUAGACCUUGCUAUGAUUUGUACGUGUUGAUGGUUUAACUAAAGCAUAAAUAUAUUUAUGAGGAGUGAUCAAAUUACACCGGUUUAAUGUUACAUCAAUGUUACACCGCUCAAUAUCAUUUUACUCUAUCCAUAUUUUUCAAAUUUAAUUGUUGGAUUUGAAGUUUAUAUCACAUAGAUCAUUCACGUAAAUUUUUACGAAAAUCUAAAAUUAUUUCGUAUGUUAUUAAGAUACAUCAAGAUUAAUGGUUUAUGCAUUUUUAUAAAACACCGUUAAUCUUGUAUCUCAAUAACAUACGAAAUAAUUUUAGAUUUUCAUAAAAUUUUACGUGAAUGAUCUAUGUGAUAUAAACUUAUAAUCCAACGAUCAAAUUUAAAAAAUAUGCAUCGAGUAAAACGAUAUUGAGCAUUGUUUAAACUUGAUAAUCCGACUUUCAUUGAAUUGCUUUCUUUGUGAUUUUAUUUUGAGAAAAUGUUAACAAGUGACUUUAGAGCAUUGUUUAAGGAAUCAAAAGAAUUCACUUUUGCACUGAAAAUGAUGUAAUUAUUACUUUGAAAAAUAUUUGAUCUGCAUUUUCAAAGAAAAUUUUCCUUUUAUGCACCAUUUAAGCAAUGUCCUUGAGGUACCAUUUGCUUACUAGUCAUUAGCCGCAUCGUUUCAGAUUCAGAAUUCAUUUGACAUAAAGAUGUUCACUUGAAGGUUUCUCUAUAUGUUUGGCGACCGCUGCGCAAUAGGUUCCUGACCAAAGAUAAAUUGGUUAGAUGUAGCAUAAUCUCUCACGAAUCACGACUUUGUGUGAGUAGAUGUGAUAAUGUAGAGACAACUCAACAUUCGUUUCUAUCUUGCAAUAUUUUUAAUUCUCUUUGGCGCCUUGUGCGUACCUAGAUAGGUUUAUCUUCAGCUAAUUCUCCUCAUGUUUCAGAUCAUUUUGUUCAGUUCGCUUACUCAGCAUACGUUUCUAAAUCGUGACAUUCCUUCAUGCAUCUAAUUUUGGUCUCUUGUGUUUGGGUUAGAUGGAUUGAAAGAAACAACGUGUUAUUUUAAAACAGGGAAAAAUCAAUCCCUCAACUUCUUCAUAAGUAAAAUUUUUUUUUUUUUAUAGGAAAAAACUUUUCUUUUUUUUGGUGACCGAAGGUAAAGUAUGUUAAUUUUGCUUUAUGGUAUUAUAGUUGAUCGCUAUGUCCUUUUGUUUGUCUGAAUAUUGGUUGAUUUUUUCGUUUUUUUUUUCUCUCCAUAUUGUUCGUGUUGGAAACUUUGAUGAGUAUCUUUGACACACAUCUUGUGCUGGAAAUAAUCCUCUUUUGGUAUUAAUAUAUUAUUCUCGUUAAGGAGUGUCUCCGCGACAUUCUUUAAGAAUUUAUAAUGAAGAAAUUAUUCUUUAAAAAAAUUAAAGAUUUUAAUUUCUAAUGAAAUAAAUGCACAAAUUUUCAUAAAUCUUACUACUUUUUGUGUUUCGAAAACAGUUGUUAACCUUUUGCUUUAUAUAUUUCAUUUUGAUUUUGGCUUGUUCAAAAGAAAAAAAGAUUUUUUUUUUCUCCAAUUACUUUCUCUGUGUAAAAUACGUAUUUAAUUACUUGAAUUACUAUGUUCUUGUCCCACAUCUAAAAGAUUCACUUCCGAAGGAAUCACGAAUUUAUUUUUGGCAGGUAAAAAGAAUCGCCGUUUUGGUAUCACAAAAAUUAGAAUCGCCGUUUUUGAAUCUAAAAUUAGAAUCACAAGUUUCAUAGCAAAGAAUCAAUGAGUCAAACUCCACUGCCACCACGUCAUUGUUACAGUAACAGUAGUAGUAGUACAACGUGAUACAAUCUCGUGCAUUGUGCUUGUUGGUAUCAAAACAUUUAAUUAAUCCUCGAGAUUUUCAAUAUCAAAGUCCUUAAUUGGUCCUACCUUAUUUAAUGUCGACUUAACUGCUGCUACAGACACUAGUAUCAUUAUUUAAUUUUCACCAACAAAUGUUUAAUUAAUCAUAAAUCAAAAAGUACUUUUUAAUCACGGAAAAGACAAUAGAGCCAAGAUGUUCAAUUUGAACUUUUCUUCAAUUUGUUUAGUGUUUAAUUUUCUUCAAACACUUUAAUUAAAGAAAGAUCUAGCAGUAUCUAUAUUAUAUUUUAAACAAGGAAUCUUGCUAAUGAAAUUGUAGCUCGGCUUGUUUAAAAAAAAAUUAAAAAUUUAGCUCGGCUGAUAAUUUUAUUAAGGGUCUUCUUAACGAAUGAUUUCGAAGUAGUUUAAGCAUGUUAAAUUAAGUAAAAAAAUUAGAAAUGUCAUCAUUUUUAAUCUUCAAGGCACUGAUUACACAAUCUUUCAUAAUUUUUUUUAAGGUUCUUGAUUAGUGUCUGGGAGCACUAGUUAACAUUUCUCUUUUAUUAAUUAUAUCAUCAAAGUACUAUAUUGUUAACGAGAUUCAUUAUACAGUAAUUUUAUAAUUUUCAAUUACACAUGUAUUCAAUCAAAUCACACAAAAAUAUCAUUUCAUAUUUACUUUAUGAUCAUACUUGAUCAGAAUGUGAUUACCAGUGCAGUUGUGAGCGGUGGUUGUAAACCUUUGCUGAUUGACUAGAACGAUGGGGUGUGUACAUUCAGACAAUCUUACGCUCAAGUCAGUAUUAAGUUGGAAAGAGAGUUGAGAGAAUAAGGAGAUCCUAAUCUUCGAGACUAUCAAGAGUCACUUUAUAUAGAAAGUGGAGGAAUGCAUGAGCCGUUGUAUGGCACAUGUAGGCUCGGCGGGUAUGGAUUCAUGAAAAUCAUAACCGUCAAGCGAGAUUCGCGAGAACGAAGGGGAGAUUUUACUAUAAUGUUUAACUUGACAAAAUAAACAUUAUUUUUAGUGAUGAACAAUUCUUCAAAACUGAUGUUAUAAUUAGGACAAUGAAAUAAAAACAAUAUAACAAUUAAAAUUAAUAUAAUUAGAUUUUAGAGUACUCAAUUUCUUUUUAAUUUUGUGAACAUACCUGUCUAGUAGCACCACUAAUUAAUGGAGUCCUAAUGUACUAUUAGUACUAAAAAAAGUUUCCUUGCCGACUAAAAUAGUAAAAUAUACGAACCUGCUGCAACAGUUAGUCAUUUUAAGUUAAACAAGAGAUGCAUGAAUCUACGGAAUAAUAUUGUUAAUUUGUAUUCCAUGGUUGAGGGAAAAGCUAAUACAUGUGGACCAAAGACAAAAAUAUAAAGAGAGUGAGUGUGGCUUGUGACCAUAUUAAAAUGAUCAAGGUGGCUCACUUUCUGGCAGCUCCGUAAACCAAGGGGCCAUGGCGGCGAACAAUUUGCAAAUUUUCAAUACAUACAAGACUUUCAAGUUCCAAUACCAUUUCACUACCACUACCUUUUCUUCAUAUAAUCAUAAAUAAGUAGAAAAUUUCAUUUCACUACACUAAUAUUGGGUGCCUAGAACAAUGAUUUUGACAUUCAUGCUAUGUUUGGUGUAUAAAAUAAUGUGACAAGAAGUAGGGUUAUGAAAAAGAAAAAUGAGAAUAAAAAUGAAAUGAUUUUAAGUUAAUUGAUUUGCUUUUCUUGAAAGAAAAUAUUUUUUUUGUCAGGUAGUUUAGUGGCUAUAAUUCACGUUAUAAGGUGAAUAAGUAGGUUGUUCGGAGUUCGAAUCCUGACCAUGCAUAUAAUAAUGUAUUGUUCUACCAAUUGAGCUAUUCUCACGGGACUUCUUAAAAGAAAGUUAAUUGAUUUUGAUGUAAAAUGAAAAUUAAGAAAUUUGUAUGUAUAUAUUUAAAAGCAAAAUCUGCUCCAAGAAAAGUCGUAGGAUUUAACAAAAAUAUAGAAGAAAAUUGGUAAAAUUAAGUGGUCCAUCUUAUGUUUUCUUUUCAAAAUCGAGAAAAAGAAUCAUUGUGAGACCCACAAGAUGUUUUCUAUUUUCCUUCACUUUAUAAAUAUGGAACACUAAAUAAUAGAAAAAAAAUUGGUGUGUUGUCUUUCUCUUGUGCGCUUUUAUAUAUGAGAAAUGAUAUUUGAAUAUUCAUUUUAUGAUAAAUUUGUGAUAACUUUCUCUUUUAUAUUUACAUUAUUUUUUAUUUUAUUUUUCUAUUGUUUUGAUUUUCGUAUAAUUUUCUACUUUUUCUUUGUAAAUUAUGGUUGUUUUAUAAGUUGUCAAGUAAAUGAUUGUUCAAAUAACACUCCGCUUUAUAUAUAUAUUUUCUCUUCUCCAAACGGGUGUAGUGUAUAUAUUCAAGCAAAUGGGGGUGUAAUAGCAUUGUGACAUCAUAAAUAAAUUAAAAUUAAACAAAAAAAAGAAUAAAAGAAUAAGAGACAUAAAACUUGAUCCAGUAUAAACAAAAAAGCAAUUUAAAUGAGCAAAACAAAAACAACUCUAGAGGUAUACAACACAAUCAAGCGCACCCGCAUACAGAUCUUAAUCCAGAGUAAUCAACCACAACUACUAGCACAAUCAAGCACACUUGCGUACAUAUGCAAAACCAAAUUGAAAGAAAAGAAAAAAAAAGAGAUAUGUGACAUGAUAAGCAAUGGAUCUAGAUUUUGAUUACAAUGAGUGAGAUCAACCGUCAACACGGAGACGAAUCCAAGCACAUACAUUCUACAACCAAACAACAUUAAAUCCACGACCAUUUUUAGCCUACCAAUCCAAUACACCAAAGACACAUUGGAUUCAGAAACAUAACAAUAACAAUGACGGAUAAUGUGGCCAUAAAAAAGUAGCAACACCUCUAUAUAAGGCGAUCACGAACCAAGAAAGCCACCGGUACAUGAAGACAACCAAACCGAUUUUGAUCCAUAAACAACCAUUCAGACCCUCAAGAGUUUUAGAGACCAACAAACAAGAACAAUACCAAAGUAAACCUCAAAGGGUAUAAUGACCAACCGCCCGAACUGAAUAGAACCUCCAGAAUGCGAGGUUUUAAUAUCUAUCAAACCAAAAACAAUUUUCGACGACACCAGAGGAACAAACCCGUAAGGGUUUAAGAAAGAAUGUUCCACAGCAGCGCCACCGUUUACCUUACUUUGAUCUAAUAUAAUAAAUGAUACUAUCUUUUCUUUAAUGAGGUUUUUUAUAAGCAAAAUGAUUUUAUUACUUUGAGUUCAAGGGAUACUCAAACCCACAACAAAGAAUCAAGUCAAAUACAUUGAAAACAACAUAGUGGAUUAGCGCACCAAUUAGCAAAAACUAGAUUCUUAUUUCUUCCUUUUCUAUAAAUAAACUGAUAGCAUGUUUGGAAUUGCAUUCAAAAUGCUCCUAACGAAUAGACGAAAGCUUGGAUAUGUAGCUUCAAAAAAGUCACGUUUAAAAUACAUUGGAAUGCGAGAAAUAGGGCACAAACUCAAAUCCAAACACACACUAAGACCAUGCUAUCCGAUUAAUCCAAUCAACCACUUUCGUAGUAUUUUCCACCUUCCGAUUAAAAAGAAUGUUAUUAUGCUCCAACCAAAUGCAGCACGUUGUAGCUAACCAAAUUAGAUGAGACAUUUUUCUACCAAUAUUCCCUUUACAAACCUCUUUAUAAAGCAAAAAAAGUAUCAAUCAAUUCAUCUUCCCACCCUGCUACGUUCCAAUCCAUCCACUUAAAUAUGCACUCCCAUAUUAAUCUUGUCUUGAUGCAGCUUGCAAAUAAAUGUCCUGUUGUUUCAAUUUCUCUAAAAGCAAAGUACACAACUUUGUUGAUAUACAUCUUGAAUAACACCUCUUUUCCAUAAUUUCACCGGAGUUGUAUUUUUGAAGAGUUUGUUUGAUUUAUCUUAAGAUUUAAUUAUUAGCAAAAUAUUUGAAAGCAACCAUGAAUAUAUCUUAUGAAAUUACUUCUCAUCUGUUUUCAAUUCAUUUUUAUAAGGUCUCUUACAUUGCUUAUAGAGACAACUUAUAUAAAGUUUAUCUUCAUUAAUUCUCUUUCCGAAUGUAUAAAUAAUUUAUAUCACUACUUACAAUUUUUUUUAUUAAAGAAAAAGCCUUUACUUAAACUAUUUAUCCAAAUACCCCCUACAUGUCUCAAAUUAAUGGUGUACGUACAUGCAUCUCAAUAAUCUUUUAUAUUAACUAACUGGUCUAAUUAGACCAGGUAACAAUAAAAAAGUUUUCGAACAACUAUCUAGCUAUUUAACUACUCUUUUUUUCCCCCUAAAAAAAGCUACUUAUUUUUUGGUAUUAUUUCUAGCUAGUGGUAAACAAAUCAGAAUUUUAAUUGGUUGCAAUUGAUAACGCCAAAGCUUUUGAGAUAAGAUAUGCAAGCAUUCAACAUCCACAUGUAGUUUUCUUUUAGAUAAGCUGAAAAUCCACACAUACAAAAAGGCCACCCUGCUUAUAUCAAGAAAAAGCAAAAAUAAAAUAAAAAGCACCAACUAGGUUGGCUAUAUGUUUACUUGUUAACCAUGUAUUUAUGCUUACUCUUGUAAUGAAAGGAACGUUCAAAUGCAUGAAAGGAACAGAAUGUCGAGCUCUUUGAUCCUAGCUUUUGGGACAGCCAAUAAGCCAUAACAUUUUAUUUGCUAUUUUGCUUUUUUGUAUUCUCAACAUCUUGUUCUAACGAGGUCAUGUGGCCAAAAUAAAUAGAUAAAAUAUAGAACUUUUAUUUUUAUAAACGAUAAAAUAUAGAUGCUUAAUUGAUCUGUUGGUCCCUUAAUUUAUUUCUUUUAUUCAAUUUGAUUCCAUAAGACUUAACUUUCUCAAACACGUCCUUUAACUUAUUUCUUUUAUUCAAUUUGAUCCAAUUUUGAUAAUUUUAAUCCCUUAGAAAAAGAGACCGUUGGAUUACGGAGGUCUAUCAGAUUUUAUAGUGUAUCACCAACACGUAAUUUGUUAAGAGGUAAAAUACAAUGAUAUCAUGUUGAAGGUAAAAUUUGCAUAUUAAGAGGGAAGAAGAUAAAGCAAACUAAAAUAAAUUAGGUGUUGGUGAUACACUAUAAAAUUUGAUAGACCUCCGUAAUCCAACGGUCUCUUUUUCUAAGGGAUUAAAAUUAUCAAAAUUGGACCAAAUUGAAUAAAAGAAAUAAGUUAAUGAACGUGUUUGAGAAAGUUAAGACUUAUGGGACUAAAUUGAAUAAAAGAAAUAAGUUAAGGGAUCGGCGGAUCAAUUAAGCCAAAUAUAAACAUAAAUGCACUUUUUGAUUUAAAACAAAAUGAUGUUUUGAUCCUCCAUUCUAAAAAUAAGCUUUUUGGUUUGAUCCUUCGAUUUUUUCGUGAUAAAAAAUCAAAGAAAUUUCAGCGAGGAAUCAAGCCAAGAAAUGGAGGAAACAAUGAAAUUCAAGUGUGAGUGGUUAAAUCUUACAUCGAUAAGAAAUUAAGAAAAUAUUAAAUAUAUAAGAGAGAGGACACAUAACUAAUAUCUUUUGGAUGAAGGUGUGGUAUGAAAAUCUCUUAGUAGUCUUGGACGUUUAACUCAUGAUCACUCUCGGUGUUCCUCAGACUCCCCCAAUACUAUUGUUAUAAUUAUAACUAUUAUAAUUUUAAUUCUUUUUGAAAUAAUGAAAUUUAAUGUCACAAGGUAAAGUAAAGUUUAUUUAAAAGACCUUAGAAUGUUCCCACAUAAUCAAUUUUUUGUGAGGAAUCAAUUGGGAGAGUUUGGAUAAAAACUGAAAAUGUAUUUUUAAUAGAUUUGAAAGUUGAUAUAUAUAUAUAUAUAUAUAUAUAUAUAUAUAUAUAUAUAUAUAUAUAUAUAUAUAUAUAUAGGGGGCUGCUAACCUACUCCAAUCCAAAAAUAUGAAGGAGUAAGUUAGCAAGUCUACUCCCACUUAUCUUUUAUCAAAAUACCCACUUAGUACAAUUCAAAUCAAUUUUAAAGGCAAGGGUAGUUUUAUAAGUCUCUUUUAAUUGAUUAAAACAAGAACAAAAUCUCUUUCACAUCAUUCCAUUUUUUAACAUAAAAAUAAAAGGAAAAUGUUACAUGAACACCCUUUAUUCCUACAUCCCAUUGUACACCCUAUGUAUUAGGGAUAUUUUGGUAAGUUCAUCUCACAACCACACUUUAUCUUCUAUUUGUGUGGGGUCCAAGUUGCCACGUGUCAGAAUUUUAUGUGGGUGUAAAGGGUGUAUUGCCACAUGGGGUGGUACAUGUAUCAUCACUCAAAAUAAAACUAGCAUAUUGCAUACACUUUUUUAUGAUUCUUUUCUUCUUUUUUUAAUGAAUUUGCAGCUCAUGUGUAUCCGCCUAAUAAAAUUAUUUUUUUUAAGCUGUUCAACAAAAGUAUUUUUUUCCCCUAAAAUAGUAUUUUUCUAAAAGAAAUAUUAUAUGGUUGAUUCUCCUACCUAAAAAGCAAAAAAGAAGACUGCUUUAUAUUUUAAUUAAGCCACAGAAUUCAAAUUUCACAAAAAAAGAAAAGUAACAUAUUUUAAGUAGAUAGAAUAAUUUUUUUGGUGAAGUACUUAAAAUGAGUACUUAUUUAUUUUGGUGAAAGUUUAAAUUAGAAAAGUAAUAAGGUCAAUUUUGCUUAAAAUGAGUAUUUAUCCUGUAGCAAAAUAAUAACUAACUUUGCUUCGUGAUAAAAAAAAAUUCUACCAAAAAUAAACAAAUUAAGCAACGGCCAGGUAUUACAAACAUCAAGUAACCAGCACAAUUUUGUUAUAAAAAGUUGAGUAACGUAAGACAUAUAACAAGCAUUAAUAAAACGGUGGAUUCUAGGUGAGGGUUCAAUUAGGUCUCUCAUCGGUGGACCACGAGAAAAACACCGUUAAAUAAAAUAGAUGGUUAAGAUUUAUUCAAAUUAAAAGUAAGAACAUAUACAAUUACUCACAUUCAAUCCUAUCCUAACAUGGUUUCCACCUCUGUUACUGUUAAUGUUGUAAAUCUGUCCAUAAACAUGUACGCUUUUCCCCUCGAAUCAUCAUCUUAGACUAAAACCAUCAAAAUUGAAAAUCAAGUUAUGAACCCUACAAUUAACAAAUUUCUUCUUCUGUCAAACAAAAUCUCUUACAAAAUUUCAUUUAUUCAUCAAAGUCUCUAUAAUAUCUGACAUGGAAGUUCCAUCCUUAGCACAAUCACGGCGUGAAAUGAAAUGAGGGAAUUGAUGUGUUCAUAAAAUUAAACCCUUCUUGAAUUGUUUGAUAAUACUUUUAAUUUGAUGGAAGGUGAUGUUUGGUUGCAUAAGAAAUGGAUUUAGGAGAUGCCAAAGCUAGUAAGAAUUUUCAUAUUUUUCUCCUCCAAAUCUUUGAUUUCUAUUUCAUAGUCUGAUUUUGGACUGAAAAGAGGAAUUGAUGUCUGAAGAAUAAUAAAUUUCUAAAUUUAGGGUUCAUAAUUUGAUAUCAGAUUUUAUGGUUUGAGUGCAUAAUCAUUGGAAGUAAAGAGAGUAUCUUAUUUUGAAGGAAGAAUAGUAGGAAUUGUAAACAUAAGUGAAAACCAUCUGAGGAUAAUAUUGAAUGUGAAAAGUUUGACAUGUUCUCCCUUUUAAUUUGACUGAAUCUAAACCAUUUAUUUAAUUUAUUGGUGUUUUUUUUCGUGGUCCACCGGUGAGGGACCUAAUUGGACCCUCAUCCUAGAAUCCCCCUAAUAAAACAUGUUUCUAAUAUUUUAUUUAUAAAAUAAAAUAAAUUUACAAGUUUAUCCUUGGCUUAAAACAUGUUUUAAAUAGAUAAAAUUGGCUUUUUGGUCAAAUGCAAGUGGGAGUAGGCUUGCUAACUUACUCCUACCCAAAAAGGAGUAAGUUAGCAACCCCCAUAUAUAUAUAUGUUUGCUAUGAUACAUCCAUUAGUUUUUAGCAAAAAUAUAACUAAAAAGUUGUUAAAUACAUCUUAAAGUGAUUGUUGCUGAAACACUACUUCUAAAAAAUAAGUGGAUGUAUGUUAGCAACUCCUAUAGACAUUUACUAGAAUACACUCACUUAUUUUUUAGAAGGUGUGUUUUAGCAAGUUAUAACUAAAAAGUAGUUAAAUACACCCUAAGGUGUAUCUUGCUAAAACACACCUAUAUAAAAAUUAGUGGGUGUGUUAUAGCAAAUCUCAUAUAUAUAUAUAUAUAUAUAUAUAUAUAUAUAUAUAUAUUAACUCCAAAUCUUGUAGUUAACAUUUAUCAUCACAAAAUAACAAAACAAUAAAUAUCUCUCGUCAACAAAAAAAAAACCACAAUAAAUAUCUUUUAAUUGAUUGAUUUUUUUUCUUCUUCCAUUGUUUUUUUUUUUUGUUUCACUAAAAGAAUUUUUUAGGAUUAACUUAAAAUCCUUUCCUUGAAAGAAAAAUUUCAAGAAUCACUCAUUCUAUUCCUUCUAAAAAAUUGCAUAAGAAAAAAUUUGCAUAUAUUUUUUUACGCAAAAAGAAUUUUUUUUCUUCUCCCAUUGAUUUUUUUUCUUUUCCCUUUACUUUUUUUACACUAAAAUAAUUGCAUAUAUUUUUUUUUAAAAGAAAACAAUUGUAAAAUUCAAAAAAUUGCAUAUUUAUUCUUCACCCGUUACUAUUUUUUAUACAACAUAAGCCUAUUUUUUUUUAUGGUUUCUUCGUUAUAAUGCGUUUCUAUUUGUUAAUUACAACCCUUGUAUUCAUCAUGCGUCUCCCCUCAUCUCCAUAAAAGUUGAGGUCUCAUUCGUCGUCUUACGAUACAUCAAAUAUUAUUUACCAUUAAAGUCGCGAACAAAAUCCACUAACAUCUCAAAUAUUUUCAAGGUUGUUUUAGAGAAACCCAACUAGUGUCACCAUAAAAAAAAAAUUUAGCACUAUUCUUUAUGGCGGCUUAAAGCUAGUAAUGCCAACUUUUUUUAUGGCUAUAGUUCGUGGUGGUCAAGUCUCUUGUUGUGUUUGAGCAUUGACUAAUUGCUUUUUGUAACAAUGACAUCAUAUAAUUAUUAGGGGUCUCCUUGAUACAUCUUGUGCUUUGAAGACUUACUAUCGUUGUUAAUAUAUACCAUUAAAGUGAAGACUUAAAUAUUUGUCCACCUUUGCAAGUGAAAAUUAACAUAUGGAAGAAAAAACACAAGGUUGGAAUCAUUUUCAAAUGGAGACAGACCAACUCGAAAGCCAUCACGAACACUAUUGAGUUCGGGUGAAGUUGAGAAGCAUCAAGAUUCAAAUACUCAAAGAUGAACUGCAAAAUUUCGUAAUAAAAAUCAAAGAAAUUUCAGCGAGGAAUCAAGCCAAGAAAUGGAGGAAACAAUGAAAUUCAAGUGUGAGUGGUUAAAUCUUACAUCGAUAAGAAAUUGAGAAAAUAUUAAAUAUAUAAGAGAGAGGACACAUAACUAAUAUCUUUCGGUUGAAGAUGUGGUAUAAAAAUCUCUUAAUAGUCUUGGACGUUUAACUCAUGAUGGUAAAGUAAAGUUUAUUUGAAAGACCUUAGAAUGUUCCCACAUAAUCAAUUUUUUGUGAGGAAUCAAUUGGAAGAGUUUGGAUAAAAACUGAAAAUGUAUUUUUAAUAGAUUUGAAAGUUGAUAUAUAUAUAUAUAUAUAUAUGGGGCUGCUAACUUACUCCAACCCAAAAAUAUGAAGCAGUAAGUUAGCAAGUCUACUCCCACUUGUCUUUUACCAAAAUACCCACAUAGUACAAUUCAAACCAAUUUUAAAGGCAAGGGUAAUUUUGUAAGUCUCUUUUAAUUGAUUAAAACAAGAACAAAAUCUCUUUCACAUCAUUCCAUUUUUUAACGUAAAAAUAAAACUAGCAUAUUGCAUACACUUUUUUAUGAUUCUGUUCUUUUUUUUUAAUGAAUUUGCAGCUCAUGAGUAUCCGCCUAAUAAAAUUAUUUUUUUUAAGCUGUUCAAAAAAAGUAUUUUUUUUCCCCUAAAAUAGUAUUUUUCUAAAAGAAAUAUUAUAUGGUUGAUUCUCCUACCUAAAAAGCAAAAAAGAAGACUGCUUUAUAUUUUAAUUAAGCCACAGAAUUCAAAUUUCACAAAAAAAGAAAAGUAACAUAUUUUAAGUAGAUAGAAUAAUUUUUUUGGUGAAGUACUUAAAAUGAGUACUUAUUUAUAUUGGUGAAAGUUUAAAUUAGAAAAGUAAUAAGGUCAAUUUUGCUUAAAAUGAGUAUUUAUCCUGUAGCAAAAUAAUAACUAACUUUGCUUCGUGAUAAAAAAAAUUCUACCAAAAAUAAACAAAUUAAGCAACGGCCAGGUAUUACUACAAACAUCAAGUAACCAGCACAAUUUUGUUAUAAAAAGUUGAGUAACGUAAGACAUAACAAGCAUUAAUAAAACAUGUUUCUAAUAUUUUAUUUAAAAAAUAAAAUAAAUUUACAAAUUUACAAGUUUAUCCUUGGCUUAAAACAUGUUUUAAAUAGAUAAAAUUGGCUUUUUGGUCAAAUGCAAGUGGGAGUAGGCUUGCUAACUUACUCCUUCAUGUUUUUGGGUGGGAAUAAGUUAGCAACCCCUAUAUAUAUAUAUAUAUAUAUAUAUAUAUAUAUAUAUAUAUAUAUAGGGUAGGGAUAUUUUGACUCCAAAAGUAAGGGGGGUGUAUUGAAUUAGAAUUUUAAAAGAUUAUUUUAAUAAAAGAAGUAUUUAAGAUUUUAAAAGACUCUGUGAGAUUGUAUUGAUUAUGUGAGAUUUUAAAACACUUUUUAUGUAAAAGACUUUAUAUAAUCAAGAUUUUAAAUGAUUUAUCACACUGACUUUCAAGGAUUUCAAAGGAUUCAAUGAAUUUUAGGAAAAAAAAACAAACUUACAAGCGUGAAUGAUAAAAAUAAUGAACAAAUAAAUUCUAGCGUUUGAAUAAAGAAAUAUAAAAUCAAUAAAUAAUUUUUUUACUAUUGAUUUUAAAAUUUUAAGGGACUAAAAAACACUCUAAUACAUUAUUCUCAAUACACAAUUUUUAUCUGUUAAAAAUGUUAUUCUCACAAAAUUCAAUUGUACAUAUUUAAAAUUAUGCCGACACUUACAAAUCUUUCAAAAAAAUAUAUUGUGUCAGCCCUUACAAAUCGGUCAAGUUUACACGAGUUUAUCGAGUGUUAACUCAGUCAAACUCAUCAAACCUUCUGAUUUUACCAGAAACCGAGUUUACCUCAGAGUUAACACGAUUUUGGUACCUAAAAACGUAAACUCGGUAAUCUCGGAGAGUUAACACUCAAUUUGCGGAACAUUGAUUACAACGUACUCUCUAUCAUAAUAUUCUCAAUACAAUUUUUUAUUUUUUAUGAGAUAGAGAGGGAGAGAGGGGGGAUGAGAGAGAGAGAGAGAGAACGGAGAGAUAGAGAAACGAAGAGAGAAAGGAGAGAAUGGGGAGGGAGAGGGGAGAGAGAGAGAGAGAGAGAGAGAGAGAGAGAGAGAGAGAGAAGGGAGAAGGAAUAGAUAGUAACUUUUAAAAGAAAAACAAUCUCAUCUUUUCAUAAAGGACUUUUUCUUGUUAAAAUUACACUACAAAAUCCCACAAAAUCCAAUUUAUUAAAUAAUCCUUUGAAAUUUAAAUGAUUUUGAAUACCACGAGACUUUUUUUAAGUGAUGAAAAGUCUUGAUUGAAUACCUCAAGACUUUUUUAAAAUGACAAAGAGUCUUAAUUGAAUACCACAAGACUUCCUUUAAGUUGCAAAAAGUCUUGAUUGAAUACCACAUGACUUUUUCAUAAUUAAAAAGUUUUUUAAAAUCUCAUAGAAUCCUAAUCCAAUACAUCGCCCCCUAAGUGUAAUAUCUUACUCCAAAUCUUGACCUUUAAUUUCAAUUUUGAUUAAUGGGUUAUAUUAAUUGAUAUGGUAGGCUUUAAUUCCAUUUUCUAUUGUAGUUAACAUUUAUCACCACAAAAUAACAAAACAAUAAAUGUUUCUUGUCAAAAACAAAAACACAAUAAAUGCCUUUUAAUUGAUUGAUUUUUUUUCUUCUUCCAUUGCUUUUUUUUUGUUUCACGCUAAAAGAAUUUUUGAGGGUUAACUUAAAAUCCUUUUAACCCUUGAAAGAAAAAUUUCAAGAAUCACUCAUUCUAUUCCUUCUAAAAAAUUGCAUAAGAAAAAAUUUGCAUAUAUUUUUUUACGCAAAAAGAAUUUUUUUUUCUUCUCCCAUUGAUUUUUUUCUUCUCCCUUUACUUUUUUUACGCUAAAAUAAUUGCAUAUAUUUUUUUUUAAAAGAAAACAAUUGUAAAAUUCAAAGAAUUGCAUAUUUAUUCUUCUCCCGUUACUAUUUUUUAUACGACAUAUUUUGUUUGAUUUCUUCAUUAUAAUCCUGAUCUUUUCUUAUAUUUUUUAUAAACGCACAUUUUUGUACUAAUCUGUCACGAAAAAAAAAGACGAUAGAGGAAGUAACCCUAGUCUUUUUUUAUAUCUAAUUUAUUUACAAUAAUUGCAUAAAAAAUAAAUAAAUUUGUGUAUUUAUUUAUACGACAAAUUAAAAUAAUCAUCUCCAUCGUAAUUAGUUUUUGUUGUCAUCGACAUACAUAGAUGAUGUUAUUUGAAAAAAAGUUCAAGAAUUCAACAUAACAUAAAAAAAAAACAUGUCAAUCCAAUAUAACAUAACAUAACAAGAGCAUAAAAUCCAAAAUAAAAAUUCUUUUAGCGUGAAACAAAAAAAAAACAAUGGAAGAAAAAAAAUCAAUCAAUUAAUUAAAUGUCAUUUAUUGUUUUGUUAUUUUGUGGUGAUAAGUGUUGACUACAAUAGAAAAUGGAAUUAAAACCUACCAUAUCAAUUAAUCUAAGUCAUUAACCAAAAUUGAAAUUAAAGGUCAAGAUUUGGAGUAAGAUAUUACACUUACUCUUGGAGUCAAAAUAUCUCUACCCAUAUAUAUAUAUAUAUAUAUAUAUAUAUAUAUAUAUAUAGGGAUAGGAUCAAAUGACACCAAGGUGUCAAAUUAAAUUUGACACCAAAUUCUAGCCAUUAAUACGGUUUUAAUAUAACGGCUCCCAUCAAUUCAUUAAGUGCUCACAUGCCUGAUUAAGUGACUCAUCUUUUAUUUUUAGAAAUAAUUUAUUCUUUCUUCUUUUGGUUAAUUCCUUUCAAAAAAUUCUCUGAUUUUUUUUAUUAAGGAUUCUACAUCUUUUAUUCUUAGGUAUGAAUUACUCACAACAUUGCAUAAAGAACUUACAUUAAAGAAUUAGUCAUUAUUCAUUUUGUUCAUGUUUUUAGCAUCAUGGCCCUUCUUUAAAACAAUUUUCUUUUGAGGCUCUUCGAAAAAAUAGUUAAUAGAAAUAAACUCAAUAAAGAAAUAAGGUUGUUAUAGGAUGAGCAAAACGAUAAUUAAGUUUUGGACAGCAACCACAAAAUUAAGUUUUCGACUAGCAUAGGAAAAGAGAAGAUGGAAGGUGUAAUGGUGAAUAGCUUGGGAAGUGAAGCAUAAAACAAUGGUAUAGCAAAAAAAAUGGCAAUUAGGUUUUGGAGUAAUGAAAUAGGGGUAAAUCAUGUGCAAGAUAGCCCUAAGAAUAAACGAUGUAGAAUCCUUCAUAAAAAAAAAUAGAAUAUUAGAAUUUUUGGAAAGAAAUUAACCAAAAGAAGAAAGAAUAAAUUAUUUCUAAAAAUAAAAGAUGAGUCACUUGAUCAAACAUGUGAUAAAAUCGUAUUAAUGGCUAGGAUUUGGUGUCAAAUUUAAUUUGACACCUUGGUAUCAUUUGAUCCUAUCUCAUAUAUAUAUAUAUAUAUAUAUAUAUAUAUAUAUAUAUAUAUAUAUAUGAAUUUUAUCAUCAUGAGACCAAAAGUCAAAUAAAAUUCAGGGUGUUUGGAUCUGUAAUGUAUUUUGAGUAUUGAUGGAGAGAGGAAAAUGUAAGCAAAAAAGAUGCAAGAUUCCAUGACGAAAAAUGGUUUAGUACUUCCACUUUAGAAGCUGCUGGACCAACGCAAAGAGCCACUUGUUCAAGAGGAAAAUUUGACAAGAGAGAGUGUGCUUCCUAAAAGCAAUGGCUGCAUGUGGAUUGGUAGAGGUUGCCAUCACGCUUUAUUUGUGGAAAUAUUUUUUUUGUUUUUUUAAUUGUGGAACUUUUAGUAAACAAUAUUAAUGAUCAUUUUAUGAAUUUUUUUUAGGGAAUUUAAAAUCUGUUUUUGCCACACUCCUUUUUUAAACAAAUAGUUUGUCAACUUAACCAAGAAAUUUUCCUAUUAUUCUCACUCCCCCCCCCCCCCCCCCCCCCCCAAAAAAAAAAAAAAAAAAUUAAUAAACAAAUAUUCAAUAGAGGAGAUUAUACCUGAUGGAGCUUUGAAGAAGGAAAUUGCAUAGACAGGCAAAGAGGUCAGGACAGAUUUGAGAAGAACCAAGCGACCACCAAAAGAUAGAAACCGACUAUUCCAACCCGACAGUCUAGAUUUAAUACGAUUCACAAUAGGUUCCCAGAAACGCAAUCUUCGAGGAUUACCACCAAUAGGCAUACCCAGAUACAAGAAAGGAACGUUACCUACUUUACAACUUAACACGGAAGCAGCCUCAUGUAACCAAGACGACGCAAUAUUCACCCCAACAAGCAUACUCUUAUGAAAAUUCACUUUCAAACCCGACAUAGCCUCGAACAACACAAGGGCCGCCCUUAAAGCACGAACAUUAGCCCAACUUUUAGUACCUAACAACCAAGUGUCAUCAACCAAAGAUUUCAUCGCAACAUUAAGACCCUCCGCCGCCAACAAAAACAAAAAAGGAGACAAAGGGUCACCUUGUCUUAACCCUCUCAUCAACGAGAAUUUAUCAGUUGGACUUCCAUUAACUAAAACAAACGUUGUGGCAGUGCUAACACAUUCUUUGAUCCAUUUCCUCCAAAGAACAGGAAAAGACAUGCAACCCAUAACAGAAUCUAAAUAACCCUAGUCUACAAAAUCAUAUGCCUUUUCAAAGUCCACCUUAAACAACAUAAGCUCUUUUUUAAAUUUACAUGCUUUAUCGACAGCUUCAUUAGCAAUCAGAAUACCGUCCAAAAUUUGUCUAUUCUUAACAAAAGCCGACUGAGAUUCCGAAACAACUGAACCAAUGACCCCCCGCAAUCUAUUGGCUAGCAAUUUAGCCAAAAUCUUAUAAAGACUCCCCACCAAAGAGAUAGGACGAAAAUCAUUAAGCUUCUGAGGACUAUCUACUUUAGGAAUGAGGGCAAUGAAAGUAGUAUUGAUACCUUUGGAUAGCUUCCCAUUGCGGUGGAAUUCAGACACAAAGCGCACAAUUUCAUCCUUCAUUUCAAUCCAAAACUCUUUAAUGAAACCAAAAUUAAUUCCAUCCGGACCAGGACUCUUAUCACUAUCACAAUCCCACACAGCUUCUUUAUUCUCCUGCACUGAAAAAUGUUUGAUUAAGCUCACUCCUUCCGACACAGACAAGGACCGAAAGUUCAAGUUUGCCACACUUGGGCGCUCUACAUUGGUAGACUGGAAAUGCUCCGCGAAAUGCGCAUAAACAGCAUUACGAAUAGGCUGCACGCCCUCAACCACCGCCCCAUUGACAAAAAUAGAACACGGGGCAUUAUGACGGCGCCUAGAAGACAUCAAAGAAUGAAAAAAUUUGGAGUUGGCAUCACCAUCACGCAACCAACGCACCCGAGACUGUUGCCAACAAAUACUAGAGUUAAGACGGGACAGAGAUUGAAUAUCCGUCACAAUACUAUGUAACUCAUCACACUCAACAUCAGACAACAGUCCGACUUCUCAUUUCCCAUCUAACACCGCCAUCCUAUCCUUCAGACCAGUUAUCUUUACUGGUAAGUUUUGAGUAUGGUUGGCAUGCCACUCCUUUAGGGCCACUUUAAUCAAUUUGAACUUUUCCUUUAACACAAAACCACCCCAACCAUCAACCCGAAGAUAAUUCCACUUAGAACUUACAAACUGCUAGGGUUGGGAAUAGGCCAGGCCGGCCUACAGGGGCCUACAGCCUGGCCUGGACUGUUUAGUAGACAGGCCUAGGCUUAGGCUUUUUAGAAAGCCUGUUUAGUUAAAUAGGUCAAGCUUAGGCUUCAAAAAAAGAUUGUUAAGCCUAAUAGGCCGGCCUAUUAAUAUUUAUUUAUUAAAAAAUAUUUUUUUAUAUUAAAAUAAUUGCAUAUAUUAAAAAUAUAAACAUCUUUUUCUCUAUCUAUUAGUCCCUUAAUAGGCUUUGUUGUUAUAGGCUUUUAUGUAGGCUUUAAUCUAGUUGAAAUUUACUUGUAGUGAAAUAGGCUUUUAAGUAGGCUUUAAGACAUGUUUAACCUAUUUAGUAGGCCAAAUGAACUAUUUGAUGGCCUUAAUGUGAAGUAGGCCUGUAAGUAGGCUUUCAGGCCAGUCCAGGCUUUUAAAUAGGCCAAGCCAGGCCUAGAAAAACGGCUUAUGAUAGGCCAUAAGCCAGGCUCAGGCUUGUGAUUUAUUUCGUAGGCCAGGCUCAGGCCUAUCAAAGCCUGGCCUGGCCUGGCCUAUUCCCACCCCUACAAACUGCUUAUAACCCGGAAUAUCGGUCCAACACUUUAAUAACCUGGACGGUCUAGGACCCCAAUUCUCCUCAUGAACAGACAACACCAAAGGACAAUGAUCCGAUAAACCCCACAACUGAGCUAACUGUAAACAAUUUGGCCAAGCCAGACACCAAUCCUCUGAUAGCAAAAACCGAUCAAGCCGACUCAUAGAUCUUCCAUCCCCUUUAAACCAAGUAAACUUACGACCUCCCAAAGGAAGAUCAUGCAGAGAGUUAUCGCCAAUGAAAGAAUUGAAAUGAGAAAAAUCCAGAGAUGAAUGUCUAACAUUCACUGAUCUUCUUUCUUCACUACACCAGACGUCAUUAAAAUCCCCACAGACACACACUUUCCUACCCCUCAAUUGUUGUAAACGCAAAGAUAAAGAAUCCCAUAACAACUUCUGUGCUGCUCGGUCACAAGGUGCAUAAAUGUUAAACAAGUAGAAUUCCUCAUUAGACUUAAUAAAACGGCCAUGAAUAUUAAGGAGUGAUUUAUAAUAAGGUAAAAUUUAGUUUUAGAGUGAUCCACGACAGAACACUAGCUGACAUGACAUCGAUAGUUAUACUAUUAGCUAAACAAAAUAACUUUUUCAAAAAAGUUAGUUUUUUAACUGCACCGUAGAAGCCUCCACCUACAUUACCUCUUGAUGAAUUGAAGAUAAUUUAUCUCUAAUAAUCUGUAUUAUUUGAUUCUGAAACGAAUAAGAUGGAGAUCACAUGUUGAAUAAUGAAAUGAAGAAAUUUGAUGUUUUUGAGAUAAAAAUGGUAACUGAUUAUACGAAAAGUUUAUUUUUGUGAGACUAACAUUACCAUUUUAUGAAUUGGGGAUAAUUAACCCCUUAAUAACAAAUAUUAUUCCAUUAUUAAAUAAAUAAGAUGGAGAUCACAUGUUGAAUGAAUGACAUAAAGAAGUUUAGUGUUCUCGACAUCAUAGGAAAAAGUAAUACUAAUUUCAUUUAAAUUUUGCUUUAUAGAAUUUUGUAAAUAGAAUUAGAACCGGAGAGAAAGAGAAGAAUCUUUUGUGAGAUACUUGGCCUUGCUUUCUCGCCCACCACUGAGAAAAAACAUUUGUUUUCAUGUGUUCCAAAGGAUUCGUAUCACGUGUUCUGUGUCUUUCACUCUGUCCCUGUCCUUGUCCAUGCCUAACCCCUCUUGCAUCUUCCUUGUGUACUUUUUCUAUUUCUUCUUUAACUAAGACAAAGAUUGUAAUUUAAUUAAUUUUAUUUAUAUUAAGUUUAUAUUUUAGGUCCGACUCUUUAAUAAUUUAUUAAGAUUUUUUAGUAAAAUAUUGUUGUUUCUAACAAACUUGUCUUAGUCCUUCAACAACAUCAAGUUGGUGUAGAUUCAUGUUCCUCCCGAUAUGUUCCCCAACAAAAGGGAGUUAAUUAAUACAUGCAAAACAAUGGUUAAAUGGAAUUUUUUAUUUUUUUUACAUAGAGCAAAUAUAUAAAUUGUUUUUAGCAAUUUUAUCAAGUGGGGUGAGUUUAGCCCCGAUUGGUCAGCCUAAUGGCAUGAAUUGGGAUGGAGGAAAGAGAUCUAGAGUUUGAUCCCUGUUUCUCACAAUUUUUGCUCUUUAAAAAAAAAAAAAAAUUAACCACUAACAUUGGCAUAUAUAGAGGUGCAACCAGUUUAUACUCCGCAUCAUAAAAAGGUGAAACAAGUUUUCAUUCCAAUAGUGUAAAUUUUUCAAAUGGAAUUUAAUUUAUAUACAUAUCUGACAUCGACAUUGUACAACUUUUUUACACAUGAAAUGUCCUAUUAAAUCACCCAACUAAUUUUUUUUUGGAGAUGUUUUUGAGUUAAUCUAAGAAUGUGAGGCAUAGCAUGAUGUGAUUGAAUGCAUGUGAAAAUAGUCUACACCACAAAUGCAUCAAAAGUAAUCUCUUAUAAAAACUUACAUAAGAAAUAUAUUAGUUUUGCAUGUGAUAAAAUAUCAACAUUAAGCAUCCUGAACAUGCAACAAGUGUUAAGAAGAGGAGAAAGAGAUAAUAAGAGUAAGACCCUCAGAGUUAACAUUAAUUAUAAUAGCAAAGUGUUAGUAAUGUACAAGAGUAACAUAGAGUAUGAAUACUAAGUUAUAACAUUACAAACUACUCUAUCUAUCACAUGUGGUCUGGUAACUAGCAUCCCAAACAUGCAUGCAACUCAGAGAAGAAGUCCCUUCUAAAAAAUGUACAAUGUACUAAUUAAACAGCAGACAUAAUAAUGCUUUAAAACUGUCAAAUAACAAAAAGAAAAAAUAUAAUGCUUUGAAUUUCUUUAUUUGUGUGUGGUAAUUCUUUCAUUGUUUUUGGUCGAAAUGUGUGGUUCAUGUUUAGACCGCUGAGUAGGCAGGGGGCUGGGGGGGACCUGACAGAUGGUCCAUAGCUCCAUAGCCUCUCCAUAUACAUGGUCCAAUUGCAGUAGUGAUUUUUAUUAACGUAGGCCAUCAAAUUUAAUUGAACUUUUCAAAUUUAUUUUUAUAAAUAGAAAUUUUGAGAAGAUACACCCUUUCAUGUAAGGAUAGAGACAUCGUCAAUAUCAAUCAUGAUUAAAACUAAAACCAAAUUAUAACUAAUGUGAAAGUGGAAAAAUCUAACAAUUUGUGUUAACUGCAAUUGGUAAAGUUAGGAAAUUUACAAAUGCUUAUGUGUGUUUGGUUUCUCCGUUUGCAACAUACAGAAGCACAUUUUUUAAACUUUCCAAUGUAUUUUUGUCGUGAUUUUCAAAAACUCUAAAUACUAACUUCUACAUUAACAUGGUAUUUUAUCGUAAUUUCUAUCAAACUCUAUUUUACAAACACAGUACCAAACAUGCACCUUGUUUUUUAUUGAUUCAUGUUUUGAAUCGGUUCAAAGUCCACGUACGAUACUCUAUACAUUGAACCAUGAAGCACUCUGAACCGAACACACUGCUGAACCAAGUCCAGAGGCAUUGGUCCGUCCCAUGCAAUUAACACUCCAAGGGCUAUGUAACGCCUCAAAGGCAUGUAACUAAUGUGAGGGCGCACCACAUGUAACAAACUCUCCAAUGACUCCACAUCUAUACCUAUAAAACCCUUUAUCACAAUGACAAAGUACACAACUUCCAUCCUUUUAAUAGGUUUAUUCACUCUUGUUCUCUUACCGACUUGAGUGUCGAAAUGUUUGUAGGACCCUAGUUUGCAUCUCCGAUGGAUUGGUGUUCAAGGACACAUUUCCUAUCACUCCGAUAUUUUUAAUGGGUUAUUCCUUCCGUCUCAUAAUAACUGAGUCAUUUGUAAAAAAAUAUUGUCUCAAAAAAAUUGACUAAUUUCACUUUUCAAUACAAUUAUUAAUGACUUUUUUUCAAUUAUACUCUAAUUAAUACUAUUACUUUCAUCACUCUCAAUUCAAUAUAUUAUACUUUGAAUUAAUGAUAAAGAAGAAUGCACCAAUAGUUGAUAAGGGUACCUAAAACCAUUUUUCUCUCCUUCAUUUAUACACUUUUUCUUAAUAAGUGUGAAAUGAGUCAAUCACUCAAUUAAAAUGGGACGGAAGAAUUACUUUUUACUAGAAGAAUCUAAAUAGCAUAGUGUACUUCUUUUAAUUUGCUUUUUAACAAGAUUCUUUUUUAAAAGAAACUAGAAGAAUCCAAAACAACCCGUUCGAAGAAAGGACCGAACAUCAACAUGCAACAAUAUUUUUUUGGUGGUGAUCGGAGUUUGAACCCCGAACCUUGUAUAUUUUAUGCAUUGUUUCUACCAACUGAGCUAAGCUUACGAGGACCAACAUGCAAUAAUCUACUAAACCGUUAAGUUUAACAGAAAUAAAAUACUGAAAUAACUACCUAUUCUCUUUGUCUUAAUUAAUUUAAUGGAAAGUGAUGUAGAACUAAAACUUUCUUUCUCUUCAAAAAUAUUAGUACGUGAACCAAGUUGUUUGGGUUCCAGUGGCAAGGAGCUCCUUCCGAGAACGUAUCUGGGGAAUAUCAGGUUCGAUUCUCAGGGAAAACAACGCUUGAUUAGUGCACAUGCCUCUACGCAUGAGCCGGAUUAGUCGUCCACCUUUGAUGGGUCGGAAACCGGUACGAAAGUAAAAAAAAAAAAAAAAAAUAGUACAUACAUUCAUUAAUUUGAUAGUGAUUUGGUUAGGUGAAAGAACAAAGUGUUUUAAACACAUAAUAAGGAUACCGAAUCUUAUUUUCAAUUAGGUCAAAUUGAUUAAUCGGUUCUAGUAUAAAGAAUCAUUUGCCCCCACCCGUGACCAGUUCCAAAUAUCUGAAUCUUUAAGAAGAAUACCAACUAUGGCAACAAAAAACAAAGACUAUUACAAAUAUAUACAUAUAAAUAUAGAUAUAUAAUAGAAGCAGUGUAUCACGCAGUUCUUAUCACUCAUGAUACGCAUGUGGAUGAAACACGCCACAAUUUGUUGGACCUAAACGUACGAUUCUGAAAACGGCACUGCUUUUGUUAUGCUACCCAUGGUAUCUAUCUUGGGGAGACAAGAGAUUCUGAUUCCAUGUACAAAGCCAUCGUGACAUGUUUGGUAGGAAAAUGAUUUAUGAUAUGUUUGUUUUAUGUUAGAUUUUGAUAAACUGUUUUUUACUCAUGUCAAAAUUAAUUGUUUCUUACCGACUUAUAUUUUUUUAUUUUUAUUCUCGGUUAGAUAGUUUUAUUAACGAAAAUAAAAUGGCCGGCUACUCCAAUCCAUACACAAAUCAAAAUACAGUCUCACACGCACAAAAAAAAAACAUUUACUUGAAAAAUGUGUACAUAAAAGAAAUACAAUAGUAUUUUGAGUUUAAAUGCGGUGGACAAUCGGUUCAAAACAACUUUGUAUAGACAAUUAAUGAAAACACUCAAGAUAGGAUGGUUCUAACUUGCGGAGACAACUUUAGCAACACUCAAAUUGAAAACACUCAACUUGAACACACAACUGUAGAAACAAGAUUGCUCUUUAGGCAUCUAAAACACAUCGAACAAUAGUUAAUUGUUCGAAAACUUAUUAAAUCGAUUAAAAAUAUUUUAAAAAUUGAUUUAACCAAUUAAAAACAUGUUCAAACAACAAUUAUUUAUUGUUUAGUCUUUUUUUUAGGGUGCCUAAAGAGCAAUUGUCAAUUAGCAACAACAAAAUGGUCGAAAUGUGAAAAAUGGCAUCGCCUUGUCCACCAAGAGAAAAGGUUGGGCUUUAACUUUCACUUUUUGUACUAUAGAAUCGCCACGUCCUGUAAGCUUAGAUAUAUUCAUAUGAUGGUUAGUUAUAAAAAAAACUCAUUCGUGUUUCAGGUAAUGAGAUAAUCAAAGAUGAUGACGUGGUGAUAGUUGAAAACCUUUAGAAGACUGUAGAUUGGAUCGUCGAUAUCUUCCUAAGCACCUAAAAGACCUUCAAAAGGGCUUUUAGACCCUCCAAGAGGACUUACCGUCCUCUAUAAAGGCUCUAAGGCCCAUGGCGCGUCCUCCCCUGGGCGCCGCCUCAACCUGCUUCUAGAAGCCUCUAGAAUGCGCCAUAAAGACCUAAAUACCCUCGUUACUUAUAUCAUAAGCAACCAUAUAUCAGGCUCAUAGAGGGCUAUAAAUACAACCCUUGAGAGCCUUCUCAAGGCAGAACAAUACAAUAGAAACCCUAAUACGAUUAUUGUACUUUUGCAAGUACAUAGAUGGAGUAAAGGUUGAAGAUGACAGCCUUGAAAGUGAUAAUUGGGGUAGCAUAGACCUCACCAAAGAUUAGUUAAACUGAAUAUCAUUAGGGAACUAAACACAUAUUAUAUAUAAUAAUUUUUCAUAUAAUUAUAUAUGUUUAUUUUGGUCAAAUCUUUUAAUUUAUGAAUGUUUUUGUUAAACGUACAUAGAUAAUCCAAAAAUGUUUCUAUGUACAUUUUUUUUGGAAGAAAAAAGUAAAAAAUGUUUCUAUGUACAUAGAUAAUCUUAACAUAAACAAUUUAAUUUUUAUUCUAUUUAAUUUUUGGAUUAAUCUUCAUAAUUGUUAUUUUAUCAAAUUAUAUUUAAUUUUUCUGUUGUUUGCUGGAGUAUGUUUGAUUUUGGACUAUAUAAUUCAAAAUGUCAAAACUCGCUUUUGAUUAUAAAAUCUAAGCGGAGGCAAAAUUAAGAUUAUGAAGGACGUACGAGAAAGGUGGAGGGUGAGAAUAUAAAUUCUAAUUUUUUUUAUCAUAUCCUUAACUAAGCAAGCCUUAUAGCCCAAGUCCAAUAAAGAGGAAGUUCCUACUAUGAAUCUAUUAUUAUCACACCCUCCAACCUUCUUGUGCACCAUAGUUUUGGAUUUUAUAAUCCAUAAAAUUUAGUGUUUUUGAACAUGUUUUACGCUUUUAAAAGAUAUAAUCAGAUAUGCUGCAGAGUAUUUGAGAAUAGGGUUGGGGAUAGACCAGGUCGGCCUACAGGGGUCUACGGUUUGGCUUGUUUUGGCCUGGCCUAACCUGGCCUGUUUAGUAGAUAGGCCUAGGCUUAGACUUUUUAGAAAGUCUGUUUAGUUAAAUAGGCCAAGUUUAGGCUUCAAAAAAAGACUGUUAAGCCUAAUAGACCGGCCUAUUAAUACUUAUUUAUUAAAAAAUAUUUUUUAUAUUAAAAUAAUUGCAUAUAUGAAAAAUAUAAACAUCUUUUUCUCUAUCUAUUAGUCCCUUAAUAGGCUUUGUUGUUAUAGGGUUUUAUGUAUGAUUUAAUCUUCUCAAAAAAAAAAAUGUAGGCUUUAAUCUAGUUGAAAUUUACUUGUAGUGAAAUAGGCUUUUAAGUAGGCUUUAAGACAUGUUUAACCUAUUUAGUAGGCCAAAUGAACUAUUUGAUGGCCUUAAUGUGAAGUAGGCUUGUAAGUAGGCUUUCAGGCCAGUCCAGGCUUUUAAAUAGGCCAGGCCAGGCCUAGAAAAACGGCCUAUGAUAGGCCAUAGGCCAGGCUCAGGCCUAUCAAAGCCUGGCCUAUUCCCACCCCUAUUUGAGAAGAUACCAGUGCAUGAUAAAAAAUUACUGUUCCUAGUUCUUUUUGAAUGUUGCUUGCAAUUUUAGUCCAAAAUCGUAGGUUCAACAACAAACACAAUCUGACUAGUUUUUUUUCCUCCCCCUGUCAAUAAUUCAAAAUUGUCCAUGUUUUAGAUUUUAAAAUUGACCAAAAACUGACCUUGAGGAAAAAAAUGCAGUAUGUACAUCUGAAUGCAUUGGAAAUCAACAAUUUAAUAAUAUGCCAAUUGUCGCAUGAAAAGUAUUUGCACAACUAUUUUAUGACAAUUUUCUUUAUCAUACUCACAUUAUGAUCUCAUUCUCUCUCCCUAUUGCUUUGGUUUUUGAGCCAAAACCUACAUUUCUUUGUAUAUUUUGCUUGUUUCAUAAGUUGUCUCAUAAAAUUGUUCAAAUAACAUUGCUCUUGUUGCAUAGGACCGAGGUUUGAACUUGAACACUAUUUUCAAGUCCCAUCAUAUGUAAGCGCAAUAAAUUGAUUGUCAAAACUUUCACAAUUGCAAUCACACAUUGUCACUUAUUACCUCUUUUUGUGGUUAGUAUACAUAAUUUUAGAUUUUUUCACCCAAAUUAAAAUAUUAAAAAAAAAUAAAUAAAAGUGUUACAAUUUUAUAAAAUCAUUAUACAUUUAUUAAAAAGUAUAAUGGAUUUGAAAGUGAUCCAUAUAAUAUUUAUUUGCUACUAAAAUUCGAAAAUAAUAAUCAACUUAAUGUUAAAAUAUAGGAUUAAAUAAGUUUUUUUUUUAGCAAAGAUAACCCAAUGUUAAAUUAUACUAAGUAUCAGACAUUUGAAUGUCAGUCCUCGUGAGCUUAGCUCAGUUAGUAGGAACAAUACAAAAUAUAUACAAGACCGAAGCUCGAACUCCGACCACCACAAAAAAAAAGACACUUAAAUGUCAACAUUUUCACAAAACUAUCAUGAAUUAAAUAUAAAUCUAGAUCAUAAUGAUACAACAUCUUUAGAAAAAAAUGUAAUGUGAGGCUUCCUUGAUUGUGUUUAUGAUCCAUGGUUUUCUAUUGUUUUACAUGCAUAUAUUCUUUUCUUUUGUCUUAAUCAAAUAACAUGUUAAGCAAAUGAUUAAUAUAUUUCUUAAGCAAAUGACAUGUUAGAAUGAUUGAAUGCAAAUUUAGAGGAUUAAAAAAACAACAAUUUUGCCAAAAAUGUUGUUAUAAUGUUGUCUGCAAAGUACAUGUAACUGUCAUUGGAACCCAACAAUAGUUAAUUGCUAUUAGAGGAAUGGUUGUUAACUGCCAUUGGAGGCGAAUGACAGUUAACUACCGGGUGUAUUAGUGUAUUUUUGAGUUGUUAAUGAACAAAACCUUAAGUGAAAUCAACAAUUUUAAAAAAUAAAAUUGUGGUCACCUUAAAUUGAAGGCAUAACUCUAUAGUGCUAGAUGCUCCUUUGCUUGGUCGGCCUUGAGUAGCCCACACACAACGCCAUCCAAAUCAUGUGCAUUACUUCAUGGUGCACCUUCUGAGAUAGACAUAAAUCAUCAAAAGAAUGAGCAAGUUUCAACAUAGUAUUUGACAUUGCACUACGAAAAUCUAACUAAUUUAAAAACCAGAUUUCCAACAUUAUCAAUAAAUUCACACUAUACAAACAAAUGUUGAGAAGAUUCGAAUAAUCCACAUCCACUAACACGAUGUAACUCUAAAAGAACUUCUCCAUAACUUGCAAGGUUAUCUUCAGAGGGACUCUAUCAUGCAGUAACCUCCACAAAAGCGAGAAACAUUCAACAAAACUAUUUUAUUUCAUACAAAGGCAACCUUUUAAUGUUGGAUUCCACUUCAACAGUUGGUAAUCCUCUUUGACUAAAAAAUCACCAUUUGAAACAUUUCUCCAAGUCUACCUAUCCAAUGAGUUUUAUCGCAAAAUAAUAUUAUCAACCAACAAAUAACACUCUUCAACCAACUCUAGCUCUUAUUAAAACAACACGCACCUCCAACAUCACUGAGCAUCCAUCAUUUUUAUUACUUGCCAAACUAUAUAGUCUACUGGAUUGAUCCUUUAAUACCACACAUUCACUCAAAUAUCAUGUCAAAACAGUGAAUCUCUUCCAUAACCAAUAGUAAUCUUUAUCAUUGUUUUAGCUUGAUCAAUCUGUAACUAAUCCCAUACAUGAACUACCAACUACCCCACAAUAUAUCAAUCCAUAUUUUUUAGCCAAAAUGUUAAACAAUAAAUCUUUCUUCUCCACUCUAAACCUCAAACACAAUUAUGCUUACAAUGCAUAAUCGUUUGUGCGUCACACACACACUUAAACCAACUUUUUUUUGCCAAACAUUCUUAUUUCCAUUUCACACAAUUAAUUUUUCUAGAUUCUUCACUGCCUCCCAUUAAACAGAAUUAAACAAAAAUUAAAUUUUAGAAAUAGUACAUGUAGAAACCUUGUAGGCAUAAUAUAAGAAAAGGUCCUCAUACAUAAUACAUCAUACAAAAUUUUAGCUUAUUGUUGUGCUUAUUAUUUAUUAGCUUUUCAUUUAGUUUUUUUUUAUUUCACUUUUCACUACCAAAUAAAUCAAACACACCAUAAACAUAAAACAAAAUAAAAUAUUGUUGAAGAAGAGAACAAUAGCACUUGCGAAGUAUACGGAAAUUUUAGCAUCCCAAAACAUCGUAUGUCAAAUGCAGUUAUUGAUAAAAAAUAAUAACAAACCAAAAAAGAUGAGCGGGCCACAUGAUCUCAAAUACGUCUCACAUCAGUUUCAUGAUUAUGAAUGCGUCUCACAUGAUCUUGCAUUAUCAAAUUCAAUUCUGCAAUCUUUUUAAUCAAUUCAAGAAAGUUGACAUUACUAUAUUGAUAUAAUUUAAAUUUUUGGAAUCUUUGAAAGACAAGAUUAAGAUUAAUUUAUCUAGUAGGCACAUUUUCAUCUAAAAUAGAAUUUAUUUUGUUAUGAAAAUUAUCCCAAUUUCUUGGAUAAUAAAUAUGGCCAAUAUUUUUAAUAUUAGCUAGCACAUUUUUAAGAACAAAGGGUCCAAAGAAAUAUCACUAAUUUUUUCGACAAUAUUUUUUUGCCACAUUAUUAAGAACAACGAAUAUUUUUUUCAGGGAUGUUGUAAAUAGAAAUAUGUGCUAUAUGGAGGUAUAACUAGCAAAUCGCGCCAAAAGAGCCUAAAUCAUAAAGAGACUUCAGUCAAGCCCUUCAUCAUGUCAAUGUUUGGGAUAUUUCAAUGAACUUUGCUACAUACAUACCCCCCACCAAAUGUUUCUAUAUACACCUCACACCUUAAAAAAAAAUUGAACCCUAAACCGUCGUUUCUUCAACCUAUGUCUAAGACAGACCCUGAACACAUAUAAGAAAACUUUGAGAAGAAUGAGACAACCUACCAUUAUUGAGGGUGUGUUUGGUUGAGAAGAGAAAUUGUGAAGAGAUAAAUAGGUGAGAAAGAGUUUGAAAAGAGAGAAAUAAAUGAGAAAUAGAGUUGAUUUGAUAGGUUGUUUGGUAUAAGAGAAAUAUUGACGAGAUAGGGAAGAAAUAAGUGUUGAUUAUUUUGAAAUGUACCAAAAUACCCCUAAGUGAAAAGCCUUAUAUAAAAAUUAAUUUAAUAUUUCUUGAGCCAUUUAUUUAAUUUUUUAAAGAACUUAAAUCAAUUUUCUAGUAAUUUAACCAAUUAGAUUAUUUUUUUAAUUGAAAGUAAAAUAUUAGAUUACAUUAGAAAUUAUAAAUUUGAAUUGGUAAAUAUUGUUAUUAUAACUUUUAGUUUUAAAUUUAAUUGAAUAAAUCAACUUAUAAAUAUCCAUAGUUAACCCAAAGACCAUCAUGUUCAUGGUAUCCAGACACGUUUUUCCUUUCGUCUCAGCCACAAUCACGUUUUUGUUGAUAUUAACUUCUCCUUCUACGAGUCGAUUAACUUCUCUCUCUCUAAACACAAAGAUUGCUAUUAUUAAACUCCAAUUUGUUUUUAACCUUUGUCUUCUAUCGAUUUGUUUCACAGAUACAAGACAAGAUUAUUCUGUAAUUUUUUUUUGCCACUAAAAAGGAAAAUCCCAAAGAGUAGAGAAGAAGCUUCUUUCCAUUAUUUACAGAGAAACAAGGGUAUUAAUGGAAAAAUGAAUUAGUGAAGCUUUCUCUCUGUUUUCUUCCCAGGUUAGAGAGGAAGAAAAAAGGUGUGGGACCCGCACUGGUUUUGUCUCUCGCACGUGUUUCUCUCGUGUUUCAAACGAAAAAAAUGGACAAUUUCUUAGCUCUCUCUCUCAAACUAAACAGGUCGUAAAUGACGAAUUUUCCAUCUACAUAUAUAAUUUUUAUUCCUACCUAUAUUAUGAUCACACAAAAUGCAACCUCAUCAAAUGGUGGAAGCCCAAAAUAUUUUUAAAAAAAGCAUUUUCCAUUUAAAUCAUUUGCUCAAUUAUUAAUUAUUAGUUCUUUUAAUAAGUGUUUGUCUCCGACUCAAGAUGUACUCGUAGUACCUAAAAAUAUUUAAAUCUUUUGAUAAAGAGAAUCUCAACCAUUUUUUAUUAGAUUUUACCUAAAAUAGAAUAUGUUUUUUUUAAAUUAUGGUUCAUGUCUAUUGUACAUUAUCUCCCAUCUCAAUUAUGUGUAUUUUUUUUAAGCUUAUCAAUAACCGAUUAAUCUUGUGUCAAAAAAAAAAAAACCGAUUAAUCUAAUUUAUAUUAUAAAUUUAGUGAGUGUUUGUUCAUAUUUUAGAUUAGAGCAAAGACGUGACAUUCUUUCAAUAAAUAGUAUAAUGUAAAACGUUUUGUUAACGGAUGUCCGAGACACUCUGUAAGGAUUUUAAAUUAAAACAUUAUUCUUUAAAAAAGAUAUAUAUUUAUCCAGAAGUCUUAAUUAAACUGAUAAAAUGUCGAAAUUGUUAGGCUGAAUGCCAUGAUUGGGGUUCGAACUUCGGUACCUCCAUUUAUGUAUGUGAGUUUAUAAUGGUUUUGUCAUUUCGUCUAUCUACAAAAACAAAAUAAAUAAACAAAUCAAAUAUUUAAGCUUUAAUUAUUUUCGCAAUUUAAAAUAAACACUCUAAACAUUAAUUAGCAUUAUCCUAAAGUAAACGCAACAAAGUUGAAGUCCACUUUUCUUUCAUGGCUUCCGUUCCGUCGUGUCCUCUACUUCCAGUCCCUAUCAUCUUUCACCACAACGGCCUGCAUUUUCCAUCUUACUUCCACGUGUCACAAAACAACUCAACACCCCACAGAAAUCCAAUGGGCUCCCCGACACCUAAUUACUUUCUCCAUCUAUAUCGAGUCUCACACCAAACACAGCACAACCAAAGAAAAAUAAUCAAAUUCAACAUUAAUUUCAAAUCCGCAUUUUCAGUCUCUGAAAUCCAAAAAAAACAAUACAAAGAUGAUGAAACUCACACAUAGUUAUAGUUUCUGUUAAGAAACAAAGCUUCUUUCAAUCUUAACCGUUCAUUUCACCGAUAGUUCAAUAUCAACCGUGGAUGGGCCAAGCAGCUUCCACGGUCACCGGAACCAACCGCCGGGAAAGCGCAGGCAACCGAUCUACGAAAACCACCAGAUCCACCGCCUUGGUUUCUCCGAUGAUCUCCACCGACGACGGCGACGAUGUUGCAGAUCCGGUUGACGGCGACGGUAACGAUGGAAUCGGAAACUCCGAUUAUAUAUCAGAUCUACCUGAUGAGUGUUUAGCGAUUGUGUUUCAGUCGCUGAAUCCCUCUGAUCGGAAUCAGUGUUCACUCGUUUGCCGGCGGUGGCUUCACGUUGAAGGACAGAGUCGUCAACGGCUUUCGUUGAACGCAAAGCUCGAUCUUCUUCCGGUAAUUCCUUCCCUGUUUAAUCGAUUUGAUUCAGUGACGAAAUUAGCGUUGAAGUGUGAUCGUAGAUCUGUGAGUAUUAGAGAUGAAGCGCUUGUUAUAAUCUCUGAGCGUUGUCCUAAUCUCACGCGCCUUAAGCUCCGCGCGUGUCGUGAACUUACGGAUGCAGGAAUGGAAGCUUUUGCUAAGAAUUGCAAGGGUUUGAGGAAAUUAUCGUGUGGAUCUUGUACUUUUGGAUCUAAAGGUAUGAACGCCGUGCUUGAAAACUGCGCCGCACUGGAGGAAUUGUCGGUGAAAAGGCUUAGGGGAAUUGCGGAGACUGCUGUGGCUGAGCCGAUUGGACCGGGUGUGGCCGCGGCGUCGUUGAAGACGAUUUGUUUGAAGGAGCUUUAUAAUGGACAGUGUUUUGGUUCGUUGAUUUUAGGUGCUAAGAAUUUGAAGACUUUGAAGCUUUUUCGAUGUUCGGGUGAUUGGGAUACGCUUUUUACACUUAUGGCGGAAAGAGUGGCGAGUAUGAUUGUUGAGGUUCAUUUUGAGAGGCUUCAGAUUAGUGAUAUUGGCUUGCAAGCUAUUUCGAAUUGUUCAAAUUUGGAGAUUUUGCAUCUUGUUAAGACACCUGAGUGUACUGAUAUGGGACUUGUUGCGAUAGCUGAAAGAUGCAAGUUGUUAAGGAAGCUACAUAUUGAUGGAUGGAAGGCAAAUCGGAUUGGCGAUGAAGGGUUAAUUGCGGUUGCAAAGUUUUGCCCUAAUUUGCAAGAAUUGGUGCUUAUUGGUGUUAACCCUACGAGAGUGAGUUUGGAAAUGUUGGCAUCGAAUUGCCCGAAUCUAGAGAGAUUGGCUUUGUGUGCAAGUGAUACUGUUGGUGAUCCUGAGAUAUCUUGCAUUGCUGCAAAGUGUUUGGCUUUGAAGAAACUUUGCAUCAAGAGUUGUCCUGUUUCUGAUCUUGGGAUGGAAGCUUUGGCAAAUGGUUGUCCCAAUUUGGUGAAAGUGAAGGUUAAGAAGUGUAAGGGUGUUACCCCUGAAGGUGGGGAUUGGUUGAGGCACACUAGGGUUUCUGUUGCUGUUAACUUGGAUGCGGUCGAAGCAGAACUUCAAGAUGCUAGUGCUAGUGAUGGUGGAGCACAAGACAAUGGGAUUGAAUUUCCUUCAAUGCCUGGCUCCGCAGCAUCUACAUCGGCAAAUAUUGCAUCGAGAAGUACUGUUCGAUCAAGUUCGUUCAAGCAAAGGUUAGGGCUAUUGUCCGGGAGGAAAAUUGUAGCUAGCACUUUGAGAAGAUGGUCAGGUGGUAGCACUAGUGCCCGCCAUGGUUAGAGACAAGAGCAUAAGGAAGCUUGUUGUCUUUGACCAUUUUUCGAUAUUAUUAUUGUUCUGUAUCAUUUGAUUUUCUAUAUGUUGUACUUAACAUUUGAUAUUUAUGCCGUGUGAUGUUUAUUGCCUUUUGAAUUGAAUCUUCACGGUUGAAGUGUCAAUGGCAUUUUUCCUCUCACUCAUCCUGCGUAGAUUAUACAUUGUUUGUUUGAUUCGUCUCUUGACUGGAUUCUAAGAUUUGAAGGACUGGAAACAACAGUGUGUAUAGGAUCAUAGAGGUUAAGGUUGUUUGGUUUUUGUAUGAAUUAUGAUUGUUGUAUCCAUGUUUCAUCAAACUAUAGUAUUGUAUCAGAUGUCUGGUAGUAAAUGGCAGAAGAUAUCUGUUUUUCAUGUUAUAUAUUGGGUGCAUGCGACAUUCAAAUGUGUAUGACUCUUGAAAGGAUCUUUAAUAGUGAGGAAUUAAAUGGAUUGCUUAACUAACUCUUUACGGACAUCGACCCAAAAAUUUAACCAAACUCAACCAGUUUUUACUCCAAUGGCGACUGCAUUUAAAUAACUCAUAAUUAACUUAUUUACUUUUUUUAUCUUCAAUUUUUCUAUCCUCAUUUGUAUUUGUUUUUAUAUAACUGGAAGUUUUUCACAUAAAUUCAUUUUUUAAUGUUCAGCAACCAACUUUUGAGAUUGCACAUAGAGAUGCAUCUUUUAAUUUUAAUAUAUACAUAUUUUUAUUAAGCUCUUCUUGAGGAACUUGUUAAGGGCUCUCCAUUGGAUAUGCUUUGAGAGGCAACAAAAGAUCUCUUGUGCAUUUGACUCGGUCACAAUUGUGAUAUACACGUCAAUUGUGAUAUGACAUGUUUUGAGCUAAAGAGUAAAGCAUUUUUUGAUUAUUAAAAUUAGCAUAGUACAGCUCUUGUUUUGGCUUUAGUAAAUUGAGUCUAACACACGAAGUUGGAUGCAAAUUGCCCAGUCUUUUGUCUCCUUGCUUCUUCAAAAUAAAAGCAUAAUUGCUACACGUCUAAAAUAAGCAUAUUGCUCGCAAACCUGCAUCCUUCUGAUGAUGAGGAUAGCUAUAUAUAGGUUUGAUGUUAGGAAAUUUGAUUGAUAUCCCUCUUUUUUUUUUUUGUGGAAUGUAUCCCUCGUUGAUGACAGUAGAAUAUACGUAGAAUAUUUUUGCACUGCGAACAAGUUUCAUUCCUCCCUUGAUGCUUGCAAAGUUUGGCAGAUCCAAAUUCAUUUUCCUAAUUUAAGAGGCCAAGUUUUUUUUUAACAAAUUGAAAUAUGCACUGAUUUCCAAAAAAAAAAAAAAAAAACAAGCACGAUUCAGUUAGAUAUUCUAAAAAUAUGAAUGUUUUUCUAAAUACUCAAGAAAUUUACGAAUUCACCAAAAUUUUAUGAUAUGAAUAAUUUCGUAAUGAUAUCAUUUUUUUCUUCCCACAAAAAGUUUCUCACUCGUAAGCAUGCGAAUGGAAUACUACCUUUAUUAUGAGCCCAACUAAAAGCUCUUCCGUUCUACUCUGCCAUCAUUUCAUCAAGUACAGCAGCAUGCAUAUAUAUUGCCAAAUUGAUUCAUCCCACAAGGACCAACUAGCUUGAGUGAGUAAUGAAUCACAUAAACAUAUAAAGAGAAUCAAGAACGAUAAGAUAUUCUUACAACGAACCAGCAGGCAUCUUUUAAAUUAUCACGUGAUUGACAACGACAAAAUAAUCAUGCAUAAGAAUUACAGGUUCUAAAAUAUGAUGACAAAAUACACCUGUUACUUAUGCACCCUUGGCUACCAUAAAAUGGUCCACCCAUCAGCACAUGAAAAUCCGUAAAGUUCAGUGGGUUAAUUUAAGACUGAUAAAAUUCUGUGUAUCGCCUGUGCAUGCAGCAGCACCUGUUGAGAGUUGAACAGGAUGAAGGAAUAUGGAGAACUCCAUAUAGUUCUUCUAUUUCACUUUCUUCUCUUUCGCAGCCUGGGGCUUUUGGUAGAUCACUAUCUGACUCAAGAUUGUAAAAUUCGUUGCAACACCAAUUCCAUAGCCCAGUAGAACUUCAAUAGAAUUAAGGAGACGGUCACAAUUAACAGUAAAAGAAUAAAUGUACUGUAUACACAUAAAUGUCAAAAAGACUGAAAUGUACCCAGAACUUUGUAAGUCAAGAGAUGGAAGACAUAAUUUUCCAAAAAAAAAAAAAGAUUUGCUAAUUAAAAUUGCCAGAUCCCUAAGCAGACACAAUCCCAAAAGUGUGUUUUGAAAUAAUGGAACAAUAAAAACUUGGUAGAAUAUGUUCAAUUUCCUCAACAAAAUGAUAGAAAUAAUGUGGUUAUGAAAGUGCUUUCAAUAGUGGUAACAAACAUGAAAUGGGAACUACUUUCUGAGUACUAUACACACAAGUAUAUAUAAGCAUAAAAAAAUGAACUUCGGGUUUUCUGCUUCAAAAGGAUAAAGAAAAGCUAGUCUGUAGAGAGCUUGAGUUGUCAAGUGAUCUACUAUCUUAUUCAUUAGAUCAUCCAAGAGAUCUGUAUAUGUAUAUGACUUGUUAAAGAUAAUUAUUAAGCAUCUCUGUUGAACCUAAUGAACAAGAGGUAAAGUUCUCCGUAGACUCAUCCUUAAGAAAAAUGAGUUUCCCUUCUUAAGAGGGAAAUUCACAAAUUCCAUUAAAUAGGGAUCCAUGUUUUAUGGUAUAAGGGAUCAUAAAUCUUGCAAUAGAACUGCUUACUCUCUCUCCCUCCCAAAACUACAAUUUAAAUUUUCUACCAAAAAAUGAAAAGCCAAAUCCUAACACUCAAUACAAAGUGUUUCACACAACCCUUCAACCACAAAUAGUCUGACUAGUUUUGUCUUCUAAUUUUCAAAUGCAGAUUUAAGAACAGUUUCAUAGAAAGAGGGGGCAUGUGAAUGGGAAAAUCAUUUUUAGAACCAGUUUUCCAAAAUCACAAAAUGUGCCUGUCUGUUAUGGCAUUUGGGAAGGCUCUUGAACUUGAGUUGGACCAAGGCUACAAUUCUUUGAUUUGGUAAAAAGUGCAUGGGAAUGUGGUUUUUUCCCAUUAGCCUCCACAGAAAUCUAAACCAAACAGGCACAAACGCUUGUUCUGAUGUGAGCAGAGUUAACAAUAUCUACUACUAUCUUUUUCAAUCGCCAAUACCAAAGCAUGAAAAUUAUUCCCAAUCAAAGCAUGAAAAUUAGACAGUUCUUAUUUAUUCAGGACCAGCUAAAACACCUUUUGGUCUACAAUCACACAAUCACAAAAAUAGUUACUGCCAAGAAAGUUAAGAUAUAAGAAGUGUAAGAACCCAUAAAACAAAAGGAAAAAGAGCCUCGUAUUGUUGGGAUUUCUCAAGCUUAAUUUCUAAUAAGUUCACAAAAAAAAGUGUGUAAUUUCACAAGGGGUAGAGGACCACCCACUUGUCUUCCACAGAAGAGUUAGAUGUAACUUUCGUGAGAUGGAAAAAAAGUUAUCAAGCCAAGUAUAGGUGAAGAUAGCAAUUUCAUGAACACAAUACCACAAAAUCAGAAUAAAAAAUGAGGCAAAUGGGGAAUAUAUUCUCAAAUUGUUUCCAUUUUUCUGCAGAAAAAAUUGAGAUAGGGACGUCCUGCAAACAUAUUUUGGUUUUUAAAACAAAUAAAUGUUUCUACACACAAAAGUUGAAUAGGUCAUUACUUUCUUAAGCAUUACUAUUAGUAUUAACACCAAAAACUGAAUUAAUAUUCAUUGAUGACAAUCACCACAACAAGAGAAAUGAUGAUGAAAACAAAUUAAGAAGAAAGGCUACCGCUUUUUGGGGCAUUUUCUUGGAUGGUGGUGAAUACUCUAACUGCAACAAACAUAAACAAAAAAAUUAGUAUUCCAUUCCAGCAAACGAAAACUGCAGUCUUUGUUGUACUAAAGAUUUACUGGCUUACCCAUUGAGCCUCCAAAGUUCAUAAAAGAAGUUAAGAAGCUGAGCUCCCCUGUACUUUUAUUCUGCUCAAACCAGGGUUAUCAGUGACAAAUAAGAAUGGUGAAAAACAAAUAGCUGAUAUACUUCAUUAGUCCAAACAUUUUGAAAAAAUAAAUAAAUUCAGCAUAUCCACAUUAACAGAGUUGACAGAUUCUAGCCUAUCAUUACAAGAGGAAUAAAAGCUCCUAGUUUUCUUCAAAAUGCAGAAAGAAUGGCAACACAGCAUACAUAAAAAUCAUGUUUGUCAUGUAAUCAAUGUUGUCAAACUCAAGGGUCUACACAAACUCAUGAAAUGUAUGUAGGCUCAAUUUGUAAAUUUGGAAGAGUUUACUUAAUACAAAAGUAACUUUUAAAGCAUAUAUCACAAUAUCAAAAGCAUAAUUUAACAGUAUGUACAUAGUAGUUAUUCAACCUUAAAAAAAAAAAACUUCUAAUAAAUAUUCUAUCCACAUGACCAGACCAGAACAAUUCAAAAAUGAUGGACAAAUUCACAAAUUACAAGAUAUUUUGACAAUUCAGCACACAAGUAUACUAAGGGUGUGUUUGUUUCAAGUUAUAUUUGUUGAUUCCCAGGAAUAAAAUGAUAGAAAUAUAUAUGCCUAUGUUUGUUACAAGUUUACUAAAUUUUAUUCCCGGGUAUAAAAUGUUCCUGGGAAUAGAAAAAUUUUCCCAAGGAAAAAGGUGGGAAUAAAGUUCCCAUGGAGAUGAGAAUAAAUUUAUAUAUAGUUACCUAUUAUAAUCCCUAUUUUUAUGGUUCCUAGGAAUGUUAUAAAGUUAACCGAACAUAUUUUUCCUAAAUACCUUGGAAUAAAAUUCCCAUCUUUAUAUUCCAAGGAAUGUUAUUCCAAUGAAUAAAUUUGGUAAACUUCAAACAAACAGACCCUAAGUUCAAAAUUGACAUACAAAUUGACCAAGGUUCAAAAUUACUGAGACAAAUAAUCUUGGGAUCGAAAUCCCCUAGUUGGAGCUAGAUUUAUCUCAGUAGAGCUAGGUUUCAGACUUUCAGCUCAUCAGGGCAUUGGCCUUGUUGGCAAGUUGGAUUUAUUGCGAACUUGCAAAGAUGGGUUUGUUCAUGUUUUUUGCUUAUUCACUUCGUUUAAUCUGGGAGCUAUGGGGUUGAGACUCAAUAAAACUCAUUCACCUUCUUUGCAGAUGGUUCACGUUGAUACAUUCGUGGAGUUUAGUGCUACAACUAGGGCUGGACAAGAUUGGCCCAAACCGCCCAAAUCCGUUCGGCCCGUUUUAACCGUUUGAAUUCGGUCGGGUCAUCCGGGUCCGUCGGUUGAAACGGGUUCUGAUCAAUGGGUUGUAUUGGUUAAUAAAGGUUGGUUUCGGUUGGGCUAAUCCAGCCCAACGAAAUCCGAACCCGUCCGUCCAUGUUAUAUAUAUUAUAUUAAUUAUUUAUAUUUAUGUAAAUUAUUGGAACGAUACCGUUUUGUUGUGACAAGAAUUUUUUUUCAGGAACUCAGUUUCGUCUUUUCACUUCCAUUCUCUCCUUCUCAACCGUUCACCAUUAAUUCCGGCGACGAUCCCCAUCAGAAUCUCAGCUUUUCUUUCUAAUUCAUCUCCUCUAAAAUUAUAACAUUUCUGUUUUCUUCUGUUAUUUUCUGUCUAAAACUCAUUUGUGUGGGUUGUAUUUUCUUCUUCAUCUUCUCUUCUCAUUUUAACCACAUAUCCCUUCUUCCAUCUUUCAGAUCUGACCAAAUCUUUUGUAUUUCAGACUGGAUCUUAAGUUUUGCUUCUGAAGUUAACACAUUUGAAUUAUUCUUUGAAAAUCAAUUUGUGGAGUUUGUUUUUUUCUCUGAAGAUCUGGAUUUGCAGUUUUUUUUUUUUAUCAAAUUUUGUUUGAACGAAAAACCGACGCUAUCGAACCGCGAAAACCGUCAAACCGACACCGAAAAAACCGAUCAUUCAGUUGGACGGAAAUGGGCUGUCAUUCUAUCACCGUCGGCUUGUCCGGAUUGAGGGAUUGGGACCGAAAUCCGACCCUAUCCGUCCGAUGUCCAGCCCUAGCUACAACUCACAAUAGGUGAGAUCAAGGUAGUCAGGAACGAGUGCUGGCACGUAGGUUCGUCCGUUCCUACGUGCUUCCCACAGCAAAACGUGCUUCGAGCUUGCUACGAUUCGUUUUCCCCAUGUUUGUGGUCAGGAACGAGUUCCUGAAGCAGGAACGUUAAAAAAAACGAGCUGGGCUUGGCAAAAUUGAUUUGGGCUUCCCGAACCGGGUCGGGUCAAAAUAUCCCGGUUUUAAUAAAUUAAUUAAAACCUAGAAAUUCAAUUUUUCUCAAUCUUCCUCACCUAACCCUAAAAUACAGGAACGGCGGCCAUGGCAUUUUUCUGGCGAAUUUCUCGCCGUUGUUCUCUCUGUAGCCCGGUUUCCCAUAGUUCUCUCUCAUUCUUCACUUCCUUUUUCGUUUUCCUCACUUAAACUCUGUUUUCCUUUCCUUCACUUCCUUUCCAGUACUCUGUUUCUGUUUCGUUUUCAAUCUCUGAUUAUGACUUAUUAAUUAAGUUUAAUGUACUUAUGAGUUCUAUGUUUUUUUGUAUUAUAUAUUAAUAUGAUUGUGUGUGCGUGUAUGAGAAAUUACAAUUUUGCCCUUGAGUGGGUUCUUACGAACCGUGUUACGUUCCCCGACUUUACGUCCCUUCACCAGCCAAUCGAACCUACGUAGAAACUCGUUCCUGACUACAUUGGGUGAGAUCGAAGUUUUGUGCACUGUGGAGCCUUAUCAUCGUUUUGUUUGGGGUUUUUCGCAAAACAUGAAAUUUAGGCUAGUACCAGGACAAAUAACCAUUAUGUUGUAAAUUUGUGAUUCCUAUGCAAAUCUACCCAAAUUUACAUAAAACAAUUUUGUAAGCAAGUUAGCUCAAUUUUAAUACUGAGCUGGAAACUUGUAUGAUUGUAUUUGUUAACUUCAAAGUUUGACAACCAACCAUGUAUCUAACUAGUUUCAAGUAGAUCAUCAUUAACUGUACAACAAAAUAACUCAUUUACCAGUUGCUUUAAAGGGAAAAAGUAUAGCCCUUUUGGCUGGAGAAUCAAGUAUCAUAUAUGCAAGUAAAAACUAUAAAACAGAUAAGUUUAUAAAUUUCAUGACAACUAGGUAUUUUCUCCAACACAAUAUAGCAUGAAUACAGAACGGGCGUUCAUGUUUCUACUUACAGAAAAGUUUUGGAAUAUUUGUGGGAUCCUUGCACACAGAAAUAUUGCAUGCUGCGAUGCCUGCAAAAGAUCAUAUUCACAUAAAAAAAUAUUGGCCAUAGAGAACCUUAUAGAUUACUAAUUAUUAUAAAAUAAAGGCUAAAAGGUUUGACAGCAUGAAUAGACGACAGAUGAAUACUGCAGAGACAAUAGGAGAAAAAUUUCAGCAGCAUAAGUAAAUAAAUGUUGAACAUAAAGUUAUUACUCACAUACAAGGCCUCAAAGAGGACAGGAUCAAUUUUACCAGCUAAGAUUGUGGGUGCUACAGCACAAUAUCUGAAAACCAAUUUAUCAAGGAAAUGAUCGAGAAUAUUUGAUUAAAUUGCAUAAUAUGAGAAUGAAAAUUCAGUGCUUCAGCAAACAAGUAGGAUACAUCAAUGGCCGAAUCCAUGUGACUGUACUAAUAGGUUGAGAAUAGUAGUAGAUUAUGGCAACCAAUACAAGAGCUGUAUCAGAAACGGAGAGGACGAAGUAAGUUAAACUAAUUCACGUAAAUGGAAGAACAAGAUAUAUCUAACAAAAGAUAGAGAUGUACAAGUUGCAUGAUCUACAGCCUAUAUUUCAUGAGCAAGCAGGAAUAUCAGCAAUUCAGUAUGUAAAAUUAGUCAAAAUCAUCAACAGAAUACAGCAGGACAAAGUAAUACAUAUACAAGGCAAAAUAACUCUUUUGGUCCUUUAAGUUUGACAAAAAUACUAUGUUAGACCUUUUAAGUUUGUUAAGUUUCAAAUAAGUUCUUUAAGUUUUUUUAAGUUUCAAAUAGGUCCUUUAAGUUUUUUUAAGUUUCAAAUAGGUCCUUUAAGUUGUUAAUUUAAUACACUUAUUUGAAGUUUUUAAAGUUUUUAAGUUUCAAAUAGGUCCUUAAAAGGGUAAUAAGGACCUAUUUGAAACUUAAAAAACUUAAAGGACUAACCUGGUAGUUUUGUCAAACUUAAAGGACCAAAAGAUGUAUUUGGCCUAUAUACAAUUCCACCAAGUAAGAAUAGAGAGAAUGUUUGAAAAAGAAAUAUUCAAACACAGUCAAUUGGCCGGUUGAUCUCAUAUAAAGGCUGAGGUGUAAAUUUGGUUUAACCUUUAAAGAAGCUAAGACCUUUCAGAUGACAUGGCCAUGCAGCCUACAUCUCUAAGGCCAUUUGAAUUAAAACCUACAUUUCCUUUAAGAGUUUACUUGAUCCACCUCUACCUUUGUUUGUUAUACUACUAGUGUCCACAUGAUCUGCUAUCCUUAUUGGGAUCUCUAUUGGCCUUUUUCCACAUGACUACCGAAUCAUCUUAUGUGAGAAUUUUUAAUUUGUUUGUUACUAGAACUAAUAACAUCCCCAUUUUCAUCAAAUAUAUUUAUUCAUUUCUUAUCUCCUCUAGCAUGUCUACUCAUCCACCAAGGCACUUGGCUCAUGCUUUUCUUGGCACUUUACUGCCGAACAAUUCAAUCAGAUAGCAUUCCAAUAAAACACCCAAAAAUUUGCCUUUCUUUUGUCUUGUCGUAUUAUCUUUGUUUAUUCUAUUUCUUUUUCAGUCAACUUUUUAGUCACACCUCAUUCUCAUUCAACCCUCCCCUCAAUCCCGUUUAAAAGUGCAUGAUAUAACAUAAUGGAAGAAUGAUGAAAAAACAUAUACUGACAAAAGAAUAAUCAAAAUUGCAAAACAUUAGCACACACCUUGGAUCAAAAGAAACAACAAUUCUCCAUAAGCUGAAAAAGGCAGGCCUUUGUGAAGACAGUAAGCCAGUGCUAUGGUAUAUCCAACAACUUCAAGCUCAAACGACAACAUACUAAGUCCUCUGACACUUUGAUGCUUCAAAAUUUUCAAAAUCUGCACUUCACAAUAUCAACACAAUUACAAACUCUAGUUCAAUUUCAAAGUGUGCAGACAUUAAGUGCAUAUUUGUAUUCAUUUUACCAAAUGUUUGUGUGUUCUCGAGUACAAGAGUUCCAAUUGUUUAUGCCUCCAAAUGUAACUUUGAGCCUCAAAUUAAUUAUUUAACUCAGUUUUCCUUAAAUUUAUCUAAACAUGUUUACAUUCUCUCUCUUUUGUUCGAGCCCUAGAUGAAAAAAUAAUUGAUGACUUUACUUACCUCACAUCUGGCUGAACUCUAAAAUUCUAGGUUCCCAGGGUCAAGACAAAAAAAUUCUACUCCCUUUCAAGCAAAAUCAAUCAUCACACUAAUCACGCUUAAAUCAACAGAAAAUGAAGAUUUCCUUCGAAACUAAUGAAUACAACAUAUAAAACCUAAGAAUUAACACUAAAAAAAGAGUUAUAACAAUUCAAUUGCAAAAUUAAGCAUUGCAUGCGCGUAACAAACUACAAAACUAUCAAAAUCUCAUAAUUAAUUUAUUUUUCCUUUUCCUCAACAGUGAAACGGAAAAUUGAGAGAAGAGGAGUGCGUGCCUGAGGGAGUUUGACGGUGGUGGAAGCGGCAACGAUGGCGUAACCGAGGAGUUUGGAAAUGAGAGGAAGCAAGCAAUCUUUUUCAGGGAUGUUUCCGUUACGAAGAGAUCCAAUUGCACAACUCAAAUCGAUACCAAGAUAUUCCAUCUUCUUCUUCUUCUUUCUUCGACGAUCUCAAUCAAAAUUCAAUUCGAUUGUUUUUUUUAAGGCGAAAUGAGUUAAACUGGAACUGCGGUUUAUGAUUUUUCUGGUCGUCUCUGGGUACUGCCACGAACGAUGAAGUGUCUUUGAAGACAAUUCAAUUCACUUACUUUGUCUUCUCGAGGUUGUUAUGGUAAUUUUAUUCUUUCUAAUUGUUGUGCUAAAUUAUUUCAUUUUUUUUAAAGAAAUAUUAUAUCAACAAAAGUAAGUAAUUUUUUUUUUUUUUUGAGUAAAACAAAAGUAAGUGAACUUGAAGAAUAAAUAUAUAUAUAUAAAUCCUUCAAAAUCCUCCUUUAAUUUAGUUUUGAAGUUCUCUAAAAAGGAGAAUUUUGUUUUAUUAUAAAGAAAAAUGAGCUUGUGACUCUCCCCUUCCAAUGUCAUAUGUUUCUUCCACUUAUUUUAUUUUUCUUUCAAAACCUUUCCCUUUAAACUCUCAAACAAAUCUUAAAAAAUGGAUAAAUAUUUAAAAGAAAAUGCUAAGGAGUGCUCAUAGAACAUUUUCUUAAAAACACAAGUUAGAAGUUUUGUUCAGAAAAAUGUUGUAUUCAACUUAAGUCAACUUUUUUAAAAUCUAAAAUUUGUUAUUUUUUACAAUUUUUUGCUUUUUUAACCGAUGUCUUCAAGAAUGAAAAAAAGAAAGAAAAAGGAAUUACACUCUUGAGAAAAAAUUUCAAAGAAGUUAGCGUCUAACAAAUAUUUGAGGUAAACUUAACCAUAAAAUCAACAUAUUGGUUACCACACGAAGAAUGUGAGAAACUAUUAUCAAGUAUGAAUUGUUUAUAAGAACCAAAGAAUUGAAAGAAAAAAAAAAAAACAAGAAGAAGAACUAAUGUCUUUGAUGUAAUUGUGAACCUAAAAGUAAGCUAUGGAAUGAUGUUAAGGCAAAUAAGAGAAUAAAAAACGCACAUAAUAGAUGGAAUAACUAUUUUCACCAAAAAAAUAUGAAAAUCGUAAUGCAUGUUUUUUUGGGUGUGAACAUUUGGAUUUUAUUUAUUAUUAAAAUAAGUAUAUAAGAUGUAAUAAUAUAAUAACUAUUUUAAGUUUUUCUUGUGAGGAGGGUAAUUAUUUUAAGAUAGCAUUAUUAAUACGGUGUAAAAAAUGCUAAAUAUCUUUGAUUUUAUUUGAAAUAUAAUUUUUUUAAAAAUAUAUAUAAAAUAAUUUUUGAAAGAUAAUAUAUAAAAUAUUUUUAAAAGCUCAAAAAAAUUAAAUUUAGAGAAAAUAUAAUAAGACUUGAUAAAUCCUUUUUUAUAGGUGGAAAUCAAACUCGGUGAUAUUUCAAGUUUAUGACGCUCAUACACAAAGCCCUUAAAAGAAACACUUAUACACGGAGGACCAACUAAUUUGCACUAAAUUUCAGUUGUAGGUCAAAUAAUCAAGGAUGUUUAAAAUCGAAUGGAAAACCACAAAUCUAAAAUAGCAAGAACAGUGUUUGAAUCAUAGGUGUUUUAAUUUCAAAAUCAAAUCAAACUGCAUUGUGCCGUUAAAAAAUAAAAAUAAAAAUAUCAAACUGCACUGUGACCACUGUAAUUUAAAUAUGGGUUCAAGUUAUUUUUUGGACAGUUUUAGGGUAAGAUAUUGUGAACAGUCUAAAAUUUACUAUUUUUUAAACAGUCUAAAAAAACAGUCUAAACUACUUAUAUCACUGGGUUUACAAUUUUCGAAUAAUAUCUAUGCACGGUAUUUUUUUUUUUGAAAGAUCUAUACACGGUAUUUGUGCUGCUGUUGUUUAUAUAUCUGGCUCUUGGUUACUUUUUAUUUGACUAUAUAUAUAUAUAUAUAUAUAUAUAUAUAUAUAUAUAUCCCUUACUUCUUUAAUAAAAUGAAAUGAAAUGGAAGCCGUACAUCUAACUUGCACAAUUCUUUCAUGUCAAAAAAUUACAGUAAAAAAUAUUUUUUCCACCCAUAAUAUUUUUGAGGUAAAUGAUCUCUGAAUUUGAUUUAUAUAACUGAGAAGUAAGUGAAGAUUAACGAAAAAUUGUUUCAUCACUAUGAAUUAAACUCGGAUAUAAGUCUAGUUUAUUCCUUUAGGUGGAGUGUAUUAAUCACUUGCAUCCAACUUCGUGGUUGAAAAAUAGGUUACUUUAGCAUUGAGUAGACAUAUAAGUGAAUUAAUCAAUAUUGAGAUAAUUAUUUCACCAAACUGAGUUGGUGCUGGUAUAUUGCAUCUGUUAAACUUUAAGCCAUGAAAUAAUGAAAUGAGUUAUGAGAAUAAUAGAUGUAUUAAUGUAGCUGUCAGUUAGCUUGCUUGCCCAACCUAUGGGUGCAUCACCUACUUCGUGUUUAUUUUAGCCUGGCCCCAUUCUCUACUUUGUAGAGCAAACAUUAAAAACCAUGUCCCCUCGUACCCCCUUGGGUGGUCUUGUAAUCUGAAAGUUAAGUUUUGAUUGCCUUGGCUUAUUGUCCAAGGACUUAUGAGUGACAUAAAGUAGUAACCUCUCUAUCUUUUUUUCUUUUUUUUUUAUCAAACAACUAAAUGCAUUAAACCAGGAAGGGCAAGAACCCCCAAACAAACAGUUAUUACAUCAAAAAUAUAGUAUAUGAUAAAUAAGAGAUAAAGAUAGUUAUUGAAAAAAAUAACUCUAGAGUAACACCGAUACUAUUAGUUAAAAUGUAUAAUUGAAAAAAUAAUCAAUUUAAACGACAUUUCUUUUGUAAAUAUGAUAAUUAUUACGAGACAAAUCAUAUGUAUUAUUUUUUUUUUUGUAGAAGAUAAAGUAGUAUAGUAUGAUCAAUAUAUUAGUUGGUAUGCUAAUUUUAGUUGAUCGAGUGUUAUGUACUACUAACUACUAAUUCACUUAUAAGUUUUUAUCAUAGGUCUAUUAUUGAUUUUUCCAUUAUUUGUUUCCCAACCUAUUCAUCGAAGAAAUGUUAACGUUGGUAUAUCAAAGUUGAUAAUUCACUUAAGUAGUGUGAUUUUUAGUUUAUAGUAGUCUUUUUUUGUACGUGUAGUUUAUAGUAGUUUUUUUUUAUUUUUUUUUAUACAAGUUUGUGGUAGUUCAUGUUUGGGUUUCUGUCAUAUUUAGUGCAUUGUUGUGUUGGUUGGUAAUCUUGUACUCACAAGACUUCUUUGAUUCGGAAGUGUAUUAGGGCUAACCUAUUUGGCUAUUCACCCUUAAAACAAUAGUAAUUUUAGUGCAUGUUCACUAGAUUUGCUAAAAUAACGAAGAUCAUAGUGAUUUCAGCAAAUCCACCAUCAAUAAUCUGGAAAAUGUAAAUAUUUAUAAUUCAUUAGAUUUCGUUGUUUCACAUUCAUUAUCUAUACUUUCCGAGUUGUCUACUUGAGAGAUAGCCACUUUGAUAAAAAAGAAAUAAAACAAGUUUUUAUAAUAAAAGAUACAUAUGUUUUGUUGCCGACUUGAUAAUUAGUCUCAUAGAGGAACCAAAAGACCUAAGUUGUGGUAUAGACACCUACUAGAGAUAAAAAUAAAACAUAAAAACCUAAGUAUGGUGGAUUAGAAAGAAAGAAAGAAAAAACUUUAUUUUUAAGUUAAAACUUGAUAAGAAUCCCAAACAUACACUUAUAUUAGUUAAUAAUGAAUUGAGUAAAGAUAAUACAAGUGUAAAAGACUUUUUUUUUUUUUUACCAAAUAUAUGUGUGUGUAAGGAAGUUUAUUCAAAUGUACGUGUUGAAUUUAUUCAACCAAUGCAGUGUAACACGGUUAGUAAAUAGUUAAAUCUCUUAAGUAGUUACUCGGUGUUCGAUCCUAAUAGCAUGUGUUAGGAGAUCUCAAUUCUUAAAUAGAUCUUAGUGUCUGAAUAAAUUAAUUAUGAACUUCUGAUCUCAACUAAAAAAGUGGUAGUGGUAAAUUCAAUUGGUAUUGAAAAAGACUACACUUGCAAUGGCAAACAUAGUGCUGAAUUGAGUUUGCUGUUGAAUAUGACCAUACUUGCAAUAGAGACAAAGACAAAACCCACACCACACGCGAUAGAUUGUGCUAAAACGAUACCUAUAAUAUGUUGAACUCAAUCCAAUCAUUUAACGUUGAUACUCUUAUUUUUUUUGGUAUAUACGGUAUAACCGAAAGAAAAAAAAAAUAUCAAUAAGUUUAGUGUCUAUAAUUCACUUUUUAAGUUGAAUAAGUGAAGCUCCCUAAAAAAAAAAAAAUUGAACAAGUGAGGUGUUUUGGGUUUUAACCCAAACCCCGACAUUUUAUUUUGGUAGUGACAUGAGAUUUAUUUUUGUAGUGACCCAAUCCCUUACAUAUAAAAAUAAAUUGUUCUUGCUAAUUGAAUUAUGCUCGGAAAAAUUGUGUCAACUGACAAACUAAAUUUUUUUUUUGUGAAGAAUUUGCUAAUCUCUUAAACUCGUGCAUUCUCAAGCAAGUGAAGUUGAACUCAACCUCGUUACAUUAUAUGACAUAUAUUCUACAUUUUUUCCUUCCCAUCCAAAGCAUGACUUGUAUACACGUAUAUACGUUUUUCAUUAUUUUUCUUUGUAUGAAAAUAUGCACCUCAACAUAAUUAACCAUAUUCUUCUUCAAAAAAAUAAUUAACCAUAUUCUAUUGAAUAUAUUAAAAUUUGUAUUUGUCAAAAUUGAAAAAUUUAUGACAAAAAAACACGUACGAUUCACUACAAAAAAAAAAAAAAAAAAACACUUAUGAUUUGAGUGUCAUGACCAAAUCAAUGGCUAACUACGAAAUCAUUUCCGUUAUUAAUUAAAAAAAUGAAAAAAGAAAACGAUAGAUUUGGAUAGCAAGACGCCAAGACCCACAAUAUAUUGGUCCAAGUUAAGAGAUUUGUUCUUCUUAAGUAAGUGGUUAUGAGUUUGAUUCUUAACUAUUGCGUGUGAAAAAAAUUUGAUUGGGAGGAGUAACUCCGUCUUGUGUGCCUCAUAGAUUCUUCCAUAUAUAUUAAAGGAUAUUUCAAUUGUACGCGAUUCAAAUCCAAAAAAAAAAGAGCAAGUUAUAGAGAAGUAGCAAGGAAUCAAACCUCUCUUUGCUAGUGCUAGUAGAGGAAAUAGCAAACUCUAACUGUUGGGUCAGGAAGGGGAGUCCGGGGGGUCAUCCACAUCGAGGAUAGAACAACCGCAUAAAGAAGAGAGACGCCACACAUUUACCCAAAACCUUAAGAAAAUGAGUUUAUGAGUCCUCUUAUUUAUAAGAUGUUCAACCUUUACUCUUUUAUCCGAUGUGAGACAUAUAACUUCCACUCAUAACUCUCUUAGUUCAAUGUGAUGAACCAAUCUAACAAAGCUUCCUCUCUUGACCCAACAUACACCCACCAAAUUAAUUAUUGUUUAGAUAAUAGGUUUAGUUUUUAUCAUGGUAUGCAUUUCAGAUUGCAUAAAAAAAUGUAACAUAAUCACAAAUAUGUUGAUAAUAAUUAAUGCGGUCAAAAAUUUGAAGGAAAAAAAAAAAACUUAUUAAAAGUGACAGAUACAAAUCUCAAGAUUGUUAUGAAUUUAGGCAGGGAGACAGAGGUAAUGUAUAAUAAUGUGAAAAAAUUUCAUGAAAGUCAACAUCAGUUGCUAUAAGUGACAUUACAUGAUAUUCUACAUUUUUCCUUUACCAUGCAUUCUUCCCAAAGAAUGAUUUGUCAAACGCCUUUUAUGACCCUCUUUCUAUGAAAAUUUCAUAUCGAACAAAUUAACCAUUUUCUGGUGUACACAUUCAACCUAGUAAUUGACAAAAUUGAAAAUGCAUAGCAAAAAUACACUUAUGAUUUGAGUGCAACGAGCGAAAGCAAUGCUUGAUUAAGAAAUCAUUUCAAUUCUAAAUUAAAAAAUUAAAAAAAAAAUGUUUUAAAGAAGCAAGUUAUAGAGAAGUAGCAAGAUAAUGAAACCUCUAUUUGCCACUCAAGCAAAUAUCAAAACAAUUCAUUUUUAAGAAGAUUUGAAAUAUAAAAGGUUAGAGGUCAUUUUGCUCUUUGAAUGUGUAAGGAGUUGUCACAGUAGUCCUUCAAUAUAUCAAAGUUUUAAAAUAGUCUCUGAUUGUGCGAUUUGUUAGUCAAAAUAGUCUUUGACACUAAAAUAAUAUCUCAAUACUCACGAUAACUCUUUUUUUAUAGGAAUUGAAAUGACAAUGCAAGUACAUAUAAGAACUGAUAUAAUAAUAAGUAAGUAUAUUUAAGUACUAAUAAGACAAUAUUAACGAAGUAUUUUAAUGUCAGAAACUAUUUUGACUAACAAAGUGCAUAAUUAGGGAUUAUUUUAAAAUUUUGAUAUAUUAAAGGAUUAUUAUGACUACUCGUUACACGUUGAGUAACCAAAAUGAUGAUUAGUACUCCAAUUAUAAAUGUCACUCACUAUUCACCGGUGAAGCUGAAAGGGAAAGUCUAGGUCCCACUCUAAAAAUUACAACCAUAAUGGAGUGAGUGUGGGUACCAUUUUGCAAUAGUAUUUAACAUUUUGGUCCUUCAAAUGUGAUCAUUAUACUCCCAACCCUCUCCCCACUCUUUUUGCACAAUGGAAAGUGGACUACCUUUGCUUCAUUCUCUCUUGCAACAUACUCUAAGAAACUUAUGCUCAUUUCCUACCUCUUCAACUUCUUCCAAAUGGGUCUAUGCUGUUUUCUGGAGGGUAGUGCCACGUAUCUUUCCUCCACCAAGGUAAAAUAUUAAAUAUUAAACUAAUGAACGUAAAAUAUUCAAGCAAAAAAAAAAAAAAAAAAACUUUUUUUCAUAGUAUAGGAAAUUUGACUUUAUGUUAAUGUUUAUAGACAACUAAUGUGCUUUGUUUUUUAAGGUGGGAAUUUGGAGGGACUUCUCUUGAUCGUUCCAAGGGAAAUAAAAGAAAUUGGUAAGUUUUAUUUCAUGGUGAUAAUAUUAUACUAUAUGUUAUAUUUGUCUCAUUUUAGUUAUAAGUUCUUUUGACCAAAUAAUAACAAAUCAUGGAGUAUGUAAAAUAUUAAUAUUAGUACAUGAAAAUAUGUUUGAUUGCAUUUGAAAUAAUAGCACGUUUUGUUUGUUAGGAUUAUUGUAUGGGAAGAUGGAUUCUGUGAUUUUAAUGAAUGUGAGCAAAGGAAGAGUGGAUGCUUGAAUGAAAGAUUUGGAGCUGAUGUAUUCUUCAAAAUGUCUCAUGAGGUUUAUAGUUAUGGAGAAGGGUAAGAGACAAAAACAUUUCUCAACCCUUGCACAUUCUUGCCAUGUUUAAGAAAAUAAGAUUGUACUAUCUUUUUAGUGAGACAAAAAAGUCUGUUGUUUGAUGUAUAUAUUGCAUAUAAAUAUUAUGCAGAUUAGUGGGGAAAGUUGCAGCAGAUAAUGGUCACAAAUGGGUUUAUAGUGACACUCAAAAUGGGUGUGAAGCUAACUAUGUUGGUCCAUGGAAUGCUUCAAUUGAUCAUGUAAGGGAUGUUGUUUUUUGAAAGAAAUAAAAGCAGAAAGUUUUUCAUAUUUUGUCCUCCUUUGUUCAAAUUCUAAAUGUUUUGAUUUCUCUUUCUUUCUAUAACUGUCUUUUAAAUUUUUACAGCAACCAAGGGCAUGGGAGUUUCAGUUAAAUUCAGGCAUUCAGGUUAGUUGGUAAAUUAAUUCAAAUAAUGACACAAAAAAAAAAAAAAAAAAAAAACUUCAUUUUCAUGUUAAUUAUGUGAAUAGCAAUAUUCAAAUUUUCAUGUUAAUUAUGUGAGUAUCAAUAGCAAUAUUCAUGUUAAUUAUAAUGCUAUCAAUUUACUAUUCAUUUUUGGUAGACUAUUGCUGUCAUUGCUGUCAAAGAAGGCUUAGUACAACUUGGUUCAUUUGACAAGGUACUGCUCUUUUUUCCUUCAAAAUAUGAGUAAGCAACAAUUUUGGUCUUUAAAUAUAAUAUGCGUGGCAGUGUCGCAAUAGUUCUUGAAUGUAUCAAAAUUAUAAAAAGAUACUUAAACACAUUUUUUUUCGUUACUUAGUUUAGUCCUUUAAUCCGUCUUUCAUUAGUUAGUUUGGUCUUCAAAUGUGUUUUUCAUUAGUCAACUUGAUCCAUAAAACUAUUUAUAUAAAACACACCUUAAGAUGUUUUUGUAAUUUUGAUACCCGUAGAAUUCAAGGUUUAUAGUAACAACAAUGUAUCACACAUUUAAGGACCGAAAUGAAUGAUUAUUGCCUACAUAUUUGAGAAAACCGUCAUUUUUGUUCUUUAAUGUGUCAAGCAAGUCCUUGAUGUGUCAAAAUUACAAAACAUGAUGUGUCUUUGCUAAGUGAGUUUGGUCCUUGAAUGUAUCUUUCAUUAGUUAGUUUGAUCCUCAAAUAUAUCUUUCGUUGGUCAAAUUAAUUAAUCCAUAAAAUUACGGACAAAAGAUACACUUAAAUUUUCUUUUUUCCAAUUUUAAUACAUUCAUGGACUAUAAUCGCACCGGCCCACAUAUUCAGAGACCAAAAUCACGAUUUACUCAAAUAUUUCACAUUUCUUGAAAAUCAUUAUCAAAUCACGAGUUGUGUUCAGAUUGCAGAAGAUCUUGAUUUAGUACUCAACAUACAAAGGAAAUUCAGCUACCUCCAAACCAUACCAGGAUUGCUUUCAUUUCAAAGACCACAACACAUACCAUUUCAACAUCCAUGCAUUACCAAACCAAAUUUCCAAAUGAUGGAAAGCAAUGAAAUUUCUAAGAACCAAGUAACCAAACUUAAUAAUAUGCAAGAUGAAAGAUCCAACUAUUUCUCCAUGAUAGCCAUAAACUUAGGUAGAAAUCAUCCACAAAAUGGAACAUCAAUGCCACCACUUUGGUCACCUCCACUUUCUUUGCCUAACAAUCACAUUCAACUUCAUGAAACAAAUAGGAUCAAUAACACAAGCCACAAAGUGAAGAUUGAAGAGGGUACAUUUCAUAUUGCUAAUUAUGGAGAUCAAAAAGGAAAGGCAGGGUGGUCCUAAUUCCUAAACAAAUAACAUUAGUUGUAGUAAUUUGCAUAAUCACCCUUAAUUUUAGUACUUUGCAUGUAAUAAUUAUUUAUAUAAUUAUGAGAGAGAUGGUUGUAUUUUGUACCACUGGGAUUAGGCCACAACAAUGAUAUGGGUGACACAUUUUAUGUGUGGCAAAUAUUCAAUCAAUCAUAGUUAUGUACUAUUUCUUCUUCCUUUUGUGCAUUAAUGCUAAAUAUAAAUGCAAUGCUGAUAAUAUCUGCUACAAAUUAUUAUUGUGCACUAACAUUUCACCUUUUCUUCUAUUGUGUGAAAGGACAUUGAUGUUGCCUCAAUACCUUGUUGUCGGAUCUCAAUUGUCUAAAUUAUUUCUAAGCCAUACAAAAUGCUUAUUUCAUAUAAAAAAACUUGAACAUAAUUGAAAAAGUUGUAGACUAGGAAGUGUAGAGCAUUUAUAGUUUGAAGAACAUUUUUUUGAACACUGUUACCUUUUUUUUAAAGACAAAAGGAAAAAUAUAUUAAAUAAAAAUAAAGAGGUACAGAGCUGUGGGACAUUAGACCUGGCCCAUAAUCAGGCCGGAUCUUGGGGUGUUCAAAUCGCUCAAUUGAGCUGGACCACCCUAAGAUAUGGGUCUAAAAAAAAUUAUAGUCCAGUACUACUACUAAGUACUACCCCACUACUCCUCAGUUUCCAGUUUUCACUUUCUUUUUCCGUUGUCUUGUUUUACGCCUAUUAGAAUUGGAUCCUCUUGCUUUUGAUGUUAGGUGGGAGUUUUUUUUGGGAUGGUGGUUUGAGUUUCCUCAUGUAUACGGUAGUGAUUUUCACCUUUGAUUGUACAUCAUAUAUACGGCACCUUGUGUUUAUCUUUUAAAAAAAUUUAAAUAGAAUAUUGUUCUUUUAAAAAAAUACAUUUUUAUUUUAUUACGGGUCUCUUUUCACUUACAGAGUCAAGCCUCCGGAUUCGUAGAAACGGGCCUGCCCAUAACAACCUAAUUGAGAAUACAUCAUGAUAAAACAUUCAGCUGAAACAACCCUAAUCAAUUCUAACAAAACAAACACUCUUCACGGACGAAAGCACUCUUACCUUGUUUUACUUGUUUCCUAUUUUCAUAUAUAUAUAUAUAUAUAUAUAUAUAUAAUUUAGAAAACAAAGUGAAACUGAAACAAUUUUAGUUAAAGUGAUAGUAAUGAUCAAUUUACAAUUAUCUAUGAUAUGCGAACUUCAUCAUUUACAAAUUACAGUUACAAGGUCGAACUUUUAUCAUCGAAUUGACAUUUUUCUAGAUAAACUAAAACGAAAAAAAAUAACAUGACAACUUUGUAAAUCAAAUUGAAAUUUCUUCAAACCAGUCCUCGUGAGCUUAGCUCAGCUGAUAAAGACAAUGCAUAAAUAUAUACAAGGUUCAGGAUUCAAAUCCCGACCACCAUAAAAAGAAAUUUCUUCAAACCAAACAUAUCUAAUCUAAUUUACUGAGAAAGCUUUUUCACCAAGCAAUUUAAGAGAAUGAAAAAGUAGUUCCAAUUAUAACAUUCAUAACUUUGAUAAAUGCUUGUUAGAUGGUAGUACUAGACUACUAGUACAUGUGUAAUAAUCAUUUAACCAAUGGUAGCAAAUCUCUCAUAACCUCAAGGGAAUAAAGAUCUCAAGUUACCCGUUACCUGGGCUAGAUUGCAAGUGGAGUGGGACAAAUGUGUCAGACCUAUCCCUAUGAAGUGUGGUGCUCCAUUUUGUGGGCUGGUUUUGAAAAUGAAAUGCAAGAAAAAAGAGUGAUAAUUGAAUUUGAAAGUCUGCAUCAAAGCUGUUGUAGGCGACAAUUAGUAUUUGCCUCUGGUCCCCAACAGCCAACAAACACUACACUCUUUUUCACCAAAAAAUCUAAGGCCUAUGAAUGGACGUACAGUACAUAGGCAAUGCUAAAAUGAUAUUGGGGUCGCUUUAUUUGGAUACAAAUUAGAAUAAUUGUUCAUUUAGAGAAUUAUUUAAACUUGAGGAUCGGGUAUAGUCUCUAGAUUAAUUGCUAUCUUUAAGACUUGAUAUUAAGGAGAGGUCUAUAUCCUUAGCAAACGUUAUUCCGGUUAAACAUACGGUAAAAACUUAACCCGUAAACUUAAAUAUCCGUGUUUUUGUACAUGUUGACGAAGAUAAUAAAAACAUCUUUGGAAGCUCAUUUUUAACUUGACACAUCAUAAUGGAUGUGAGACCAAUGAUACUUUGAGUAAACAAAAAAAUAUGGAAGGUUCAUAGAAGGGCUAAGAAGGGUAGUGAAGUGGUAGAGAGAAGUUAGUUGGCAGUGGGAGGGUGCUCUUGUUUGUCAUAAAGAGAGAGUUAUAGGUAGGGGUAAGAAUAGACUAAAUCAGACUUUAAAAUAUCGGAGUCUGGUCUAUGACUUGUCGUAGGAUUUUUUUAUUUUUUGCUAAACCAAUUUAAAAGUUUGACCUCAUCUGAAAAAUCUAUUUACAGGCUUUUUUACAUUAAAGAUAUAAAAUAGUUUAUUUUACCUACUUUUAAAUAGGCUAACAAACUUCAAAUCUAUUUAAAAACUUAUUUGCUAUUGAAUUGUUAAUUUUGGUUUUCUUGAGUUUUAUGUUAUUGACUUUGUUGGAUGCCUCUUCACCUCAUUCUUAUGCAAAUGGUUUUGCAAAGGUUCGAACUAUAAUGUGCAAUCCAAGCUAUUAAAAAAAAAAAACAUUUGCAAUCAAUCAAAGCGCCCUUCACUUGUAGUUGUGAGAAACAAAAAACAGUAUUUCACUCCUAAGAACAUUUCUAAAAGUCUUUACUAAAGUUUUCCAAUAUUUGUAUUAAAAAAAUUAAAAUUAGUUUUCUUCGGUGUAAUAUUAUAUGUUUAGAUAAUUUUUCUUAAACGUUUGUCUGACAAAAUAAAUUUAUUUAGAUUAUUUUUAUCAAGAAAUAUUUUUGAACAGGUAAAUACCAAAAACCAUAUGAUUUUUGUGAUGUAAUAUGUUUAUUGGGCAUAAGUCUCAUACUAUAAUACUUUUUUAUAAUAGAAAUUUGGAGCAAUGGUGCCUCACUAUAAGACAAAGAAAAUGUUUUUGCUUGACGAAACCAUCAAAUAUAAGGUCCGUCUUUUACCCUUAUAUGAAAUUUUUAUUUUUAUUUUUAAUUUUGGAGUUCAUGUAAUAGUUUUUUUUUUUUUUUUUUGAGUCGAUGUAAUAGUUUGUUUAUAUAAUUGUACUGUAAUAUUAAUAUAAGGAAAACAGUAAAAGAAAAAAUUACUAAUAUUAAGAUAGUAAAUGAGUCCAUGUGAGUAUUGUUUAGUUAACAUGGAUAUUGCAUUAUAUUCACUAAAAAAAAAAAGGAUAUUGCAUUAUAUAUAUACAAUGAUUGAAGUUUGAACAUUGAAUUCUCCACUCAUUCACCUUAAAAUUGUAGAAUUCUAGCCAUCAGAAUACAUAACAAAGAAAAAUCGUAAAUAAAACAUCCCAAAUACAAAAAGGAUAAUAGAAAAAUACAAGAGAUCUUGCUUUCAUGUAAAUGAAGCCAAUCUUGGUUUGACUCACCGAUUUAAAGCAUGCCCCAAACAUAUAGUUAAGGUUGGUUUGCUAGAGAAGAAACAUCUUUGCUCGAAAUAUUUAGUUUUUUUUUUCUCUCAUUUUGAUAUUGCCUUAGGAGUCAACAUAUAUUCAAAACAACACACAUGGAGAGAAGAGUGUGGUGACUUAAAAUCAAAUCAGGAAUUUUACGUCUUCACCAACGAAAAUACCUUUUUAGGUUAAAUACUUUUCCUCGAAAUAUAAUUUAGGUUAAAUUAUAUUUCUUGUCUUCGAGUUAUUUUUAGUUUUUAAUUUGAUCCUUUAAAAUUCUGUUGUUCUAUUUUGCUCUCAAAAGUUAUUAACACUAUACUUUUGAGGCUAAAUUACAUUUUUGGCCCUCUAACUAUUUAAUUGGUAUCGGAUUGGUCCUCUACCUAAAAUUUGAUUUAUUUGGGUCUCUUAAGUUUCUCAUCGUUACUACAUUUAGUCCUUUCCGUUAAAUUUAAUUUAAAAAAAACGUUAGCUUUUAUACAAUCGUCAUCUUCAUUCACCUUCAUCAAAAAACAGCAAAACAAAAAUCUGAAAAAUAAAAUAAAAUUCUUCAUACAACUUGAAAUCACUACUCUAUAAACACCUAAUUUUUCUGCAUCUUAUUCCCCUUCUUCAACAUCAUCUUUAUCACAUCAUUAUCUUCCACCCCAUCAUCAUCAAAUCUGAGCAACCAAAUCAACCAAAAUCUCAAACCCCCAAACUCAGAAUCGAAUUCAAGAAGAAACCCCAUAUCAAUUUUGAAUUUAAUUUGUCUUUCAACAAGGAAUCAUAAUCGAAAAAAGGUUAGCAAUUGAGUAUAGAAUUCAUUUUAUGUCAUUCAAGCAAAGCAUAUUUAUCAGAUUCAAUUUAUCCCUUUUUAUUUUUCCCCCUUUCAGAACCCUAAUUUUAUGUUGGUAGUGCUCGAUGUUGUUGUUGUGGUUAAUGGGUUGUUGUGAUUGUUUGUUGUAGGGUUUUGUUGUUGUUGUUUGUUCAUGUUGUUGAGUUUUAUUCUUGCUGUUGUUGAUGGUGUUCUUCCUAUUUUCCAGAAAUUGAUGAACCUUAACGUUUUUUAAUUAAAUUUAACGGAAAUGACUAAAUGUAGUAACAGUGAGAAUCUUAAGGGACCGAAAUAAAUCAAUUUUUAGUUAGAGGACCAAUCCGAUACCGAUUAAAUAGUUAGAGGACCAAAAAUAUAAUUUAACCUACUUUUGAUUUUUUUGCGAAUGUAUCAUGUUUGUUCUAUAUCCUAACUAAAACAUCUUUCUAAUUCUCUUUUUCUUUUCUUAUACGCUCUUAAGAUAUUCAUCAAUAUGUGGUGUUGUUUUGAAAUCUGAUUUGUCAAUCAAUCCAUUUAUUCACUAAAGUCAUUUGUGGACCACUUAAUUCAAGUCUACUCUCUUGCUACUUGUUUAUCUAAUCUCAUGUUCAGUUUCUAAAUUACAGGGUACAAAAGAACUUAUCAAGUUCAUGCCAUAUUUUUAAACAAAUCAAAUACACUAAAUUGAGCAUAUAUUUAAUAUUACGGUGGGUAUGUCAGACUCACAACAGUUUCCAUGAUUUUUCAAAAAAAACCACUUUUUAACUUUUGCAAAAUCACGGUAGAUCACCGUAAUUCUUACCUAUUCACGAUGAACAAACAUACACCAAACAAGUUGUUCCCAUCAAAGGCAUGAAUAUGUUCAUUUUCAUUGAAUUCAUUCAAAUUAUCUCACUCUACUCCUAUUUAUUUACUUGUUCAUUCUCUAGAUUUUCAGCCGUGGAAAAUAAUUUAUUUGGAUUUACAUCGUUAUGAACAGAAAUUGUAGGAUAUUUGACAAUAAAUUUUUCAUGAGUACACUUUUGAGAUUCAACGUUAAUUCAAUUUGUUUCUUUCUUUUCUGUUGUAGAUGUCCGUGAAGUUAUUUUCUACGCAACUAGUUAUAAAUCCGUUCUUCGCACGGGUUGAAUAUCGCGUUUUUAAAAUACUUUGUUAUACACGAAAAAUUAACAAAUUAAGGAAAAUAACUGUAUUUUUUAAAGAAAUAACUGCAUUUUUCACAUUCUAGCAAAUUAACGGAAAGAGCAGAAUAGGAGUGAAAAUGCAAACUUCAUAUUCAUAAAAAAAAAAAUAUAUGAUUGAAAAUUACAAAACAUAACCACAUUUGCAUCUGCUCGUAAAAAAUAUUGAGUGAUGGUGAUGAAAAUUUUCAAAUGCACCCUCUAUAAACAAAAUAUAUGUAUAGAUGUAAAUCAAAUGGUGAUUGUAAGGUUUUUGCUUUAUGCCAUUGGAAUCAUUUUCCGUCCGUUUUUUUGGCUUCAAUCUUGAUUCACCUCCAAGAACUAUGACAUGCUUUCGAACAAUUUGGUUCUCAUGUCCAUCUAGUAACAUAUAGUGAUGCUCUAAUUGAAUAAGGGAAACCAUUUAAUCCACCUUCUUGUGAUUCAACUCUUUAUCUCAUCAUUGUCUUUUGGAAUAAUUAACCCUUCACUUGCUUGCGCUGCAUUUGUUUUCAACUCUUUCAAAUGUGUAAUAACUUCAGCUAGUAAGGAUGUUUUGUCCAACUAAGGAUGUUUUGUACAAAUCUAAUAAGUACAAAUCUAAUAACUUCAGCUAGUAAGGAUAUUUUGUCCAACUAAGUUAAAAAGGUACACAAAAAUGUUAGAUUCUGAAAGAUUAACAUAUAUACCAUGUUUGUAUAUUUGUGUAGACAUGAAUUUCAUGAUUCCAAGUGUAAGCAUAACUAAGUUGGACAGUUAAUAUUAACAUUUUUUUUUAAUACUUUGUCCCUUGAAAACCAAAAGCUACAUUACACAAAAAAUAAGAAUCAAGACUUCAAAAGCAUUUUAAAAAUAACCCCUUUCUUGAUGCACCCUUUCUUCCCUGAUAUGGAAUUUAUAUAAGUGCAAAAAAUAAAGCAUUUUAAAAUCAAUCCAGUAACUUCUUAAAAUAUAACCUGUGUCAAAUCACUUGUGGAUUUAAAAAAAUCUCCAUCAUCACCUAUAGGCCAUCCAAGAGAAAAGCAAUCAAGUGACCUGCAACAACAACAACAACAAAAAACAGUCAAGUAAUGCAUGAUGAAAUGAAACAAACCAAGUCAAUUUUAGUAAUAAAAUUCUGAAGGAAAACAAACCAAAAAUACUCAUUUAGAUCAUCAUAGUUGCACCAUGCUGAGUGUGAAGCCUUUCCAUUUCUGUUUGUUAAGGAUCUACUUAAACAAAAAGACAUAAAGGACUAAUACGGCACAAUGAAAUAACUUAAAGGAUGAUAGGUUCAAUUUUGCCUAAUAAAUAUUUGGGUUUAAGAAAAAGUAGUAAAUGCUAUAGUAGAAGUGUCUAGGUAACUAAUGCUUCUGUUUUACUGUUACAAGUUUCUAUUCAUAAUUCCUUAACAUUAAUAAAUACCUAAAUACCAAAACCAUAAAAGUUCAAAUGUUUCUUAUUUAUUAUUUAUUUAAAAAUUUUACAUUGCCGGGCUUAGGCCCUCAUCGAUAUAAAAAAAAAACAAAAAAAAUAAGAAUUCUACAUUGUCGCUGUAGGAGUUUAAGGUAUCAUUUGACCUGACUUUUUUUCAACUUCUCUACAUUUUUAAGGACAAGUUAGUCCAAACACAUAUCAAUUAAGUACUUACUAAAAAAAAGUAAUUUUUUUGAAUGCAUAAAAUUGAAUGCAAUGAGCUUUGGCCAAAAGUUGUUGAAUGUUACUUUAAAAAACCACUUCUCGACAAUUUAUUUCACAAGCACAUCUUUUCAACUUACACCGGAAACCUUUUCUUUUAUUUUUUAAUAUGCUUAAUUACACUUUUGGUCCUCGUGUUUUGGCCUACUCACGAAAUUGGUCCUGCCCUUUUAAAACAGAACAAAACGGUCCUUCAAUUAUCAUUUUUGUUGUAUUUUUCGUCCUACCUCCUAUUUUCAAACUCCAUAAACGCAUAGAAAUGGCAGUUUUAGGCGGUUUUAGACCUACCCCUAUGCUCAACCAUGAAAUCAACAAGGAAUAAAACAUGUGGACACAAGGAAUCUAUUCUAUUCCGCACAUUAACCAAAAAAAAACCCUAAUUUGAAACAUAUCUUAGAAAUUAGGAUUUUUUUUUGUUAGUGUGUUGAAUAAAGUGGAUUCUUUGUACCCACAUAUUUUAUUCCUUGUUUAUUUCAUGGUUGAGCAUAGGGGUAGGUCUAAAACUGUCAUUUCUCUGCGUUUUUGGAGAAUAAAAUGGGGGGUAGGACGAAAAAUGCAACAAAAAUGAUAAUUGAAGGACCGUUUUCUUCUGUUUUAAAAGGACAGGACCAGUUUCGUGAGUAGGCCAAAACACGAGGACCAAAAGUGUAAUUAAGCCUUUUUAAUAUUAUAUUUCAAUAUGUUUUUUUUCUUCCAUUUUAACUUUAUUUUAUUUUAUUAUUUUGAACCGUUCCAUUUAAUUUUUUUAAGGAUGUUCCAUUUAAUUUUAUUAUCUUUUUUUCAAAGGAAUUUUAUUAUUUUUUUAUCACUUAUAUAUUUAAUUUCAAAAUCAUUUAAUCAUCACAGCCUUACAAAUAUUUUUAUUCACGCUGUCAUUUAAUGAUACCAAAUAUUUUUAUUUUCUUUCUUCAACCUCACAAAUAUAUACACACACAUUAACGAUUAGAGUAAUAUUUUAUGUCCCUCUGUCUGUUUUGUUGUUACGCUAAUGCAUAUAAUUUUUUUAGUGUUGCUUGGUUGAGUGCUACCUCACCGAUUUUUUUUAACUAAUUUUCAAUUUUUAUAUUUUUAAAAACUUUUAACUAUUUUCCAAUUUUUUAUCCCAAAUUCAGUUGUUCUACACUACCUUUGUGGGAUAUUAAGAUACCGUUUGACCCGGUUUUUUUUUUCAACUUCUCUACAUUUUUAAAGAGAAGUUAGGUCAAAUACGAUAUCAAUUAAGUACUUACUAAAAAAGGUACUUUUUUUUAAUGCAUAAGAUUGAAUGGAAUGAGCUUUGGCCAAAAGGUCUUGAAUGCUACUUCAAAAAACUACUCGACAAUUUAUUUCACAAGCAUCUCUCUUCAAUUCACAUUGGGCACCUUUUCUUUUAUUUAAUAUUAUAUUUCAAUAUGUUUUUUUUCUUCCAUUUAUUUUUUUUUGAACUGUUCAUUUAAUUUUUUUAGAGAGAUUCUAUUUAAUUUUAUUAUCUUUUUUCAAAGGAAUUUUACUAUCUUUUUAUCAUUUAUCUAUUUAAUUUCAAUAUCAUUUAAUUAUCACAACCUCACAAAUAUUUUUAUUCACAAUGUCAUUUAAUUAUACCAAAUAUUUUUAUUUUCUUUCUUCAACCUCGCAAAUAUAUACACACCCACAUUAGCGUUUAGAGUAAUACUUUAUGUGUUCUGUUUUUAUGUUACGCUAAUGCGUAUAAUUUUUUUGGCGUUGCAUAAUGCGUAUAAUUUUUUUGGCGUUGCAUAAUGCGUAUGAUUAUUUUUAUAAAAUUUUGAUUUUAAUUAAAAGUAAAAUUGUAGAUGUCUUUUUUUCAAAAAAGGUCUAGAUGUCUAAAAUAAUUAUACUUAUAUAUAUAUAUCACCGUAACAAAUUAUGCAUAUCUUUUUCUUAUUAAAAAAAACUAAACAUAUAGGUUUCCAUGACACCAACAAUAUAACAAUAUAAUAUCUUUUAAUAUAAAUUCUUAUCUUUUUGAAAGACACCAAAAAUAUGGUAUUUUUAUAACGAAAUUUGUUAUAGAGUAUAAUUGAAAUAGAAAAAACCAACUAUUUUGAUAUUAAUUAUGUUAUUAUUUCAGGCUCCUUAAAUUGUUUCUCCUAUUCAAAUAUUUAACAAGUCAUUUAUAUGAUGAUACAAAUUUGAAUUACACAAAAUAAACGUUAUUGAGUAAAUACAGUAUUUAUAAUUUUUUUUUAUUUUUAACAUUUUUAGCCUUCAGAAAAUAUUUUAAACAUUUCAAUGUUUUGUCCUCGUGAGUUUAGCUCAGAUGAUAGGAACAAUGCAUAAAUAUAUGCCGAGUCCGAGGUUCAAACCCUGGACACCAUAAAAAAAAAAUCAAUAUUUUGCCAAACAACAUUUAAUUUAAAAAUAGCUUUAAAUUAAAACUAAAAAAACAAAGAAACCAAACAACUUUAGCUUCUUUCUUAGAGACCUUUAUUUUAACUUUGUUUUGAAGUAACUUUUAGACGGUAAAAAACCUUGGCCAAACGGUAUCUAAGUUCAUAUGGGAACAAUGUUUCACUUUCUUCUUCAUAAGAUGUCAUUUUCUUCCUUUUUUCAUGGUUCUGAGACCAUGCAUGACUUGAGUUGACUGAUUUUUUUGGCUUGAUGGGUUCAUUUUUCGACACUGUUUUAGUUUUUCUUCAUCAUAGGUGGUUUUUCGACACUUGAGUAAACAUGAUGAUGUGCAAGCUUCGUUGCAUGAGUGGCUUGUAUCUUGCUAAAUUGAAGCAUGUAUAAAUGAAGUAAGCCUAGCCAUGAAUCAUUACUUUCAAUCAUAGAGAAAAUAACACCAAGAUGAUCCCAAGAAGAGACACAGUGUAACUGACACCGUGCCAACUUAAUUGCAGCCUUUGUAUGUUGCAACCUACUCUGGAGCCCUUUCACAAUCAAGUGCAAAACAGCACUUAAACCAAGUUUGGAAGCCAAAAAUGAUUGUGCAGUAUACGCUGUGAGCUUUAACAUUGUUAACGACCAAUGGGUGAACAUAAAAGGGAACUCAAACGAAUUUCCACCACUUAUGCAGUAGCCAUGGUACAAAGUGAGGAAAAUUUGAGAAUUCAAACUAUCAACUUCAAGUGGCACUAUAAUUUGAAAAUGGGAAAAUUCAAGUGUAUCAAUCUGAGAACUAGCACUUAUGUCUUGAACACUUAAAAGAAAUUGAAGCACAAAAAUCAAUUGUACCCAUGAUAAAGGAAGCAUUUUCUUGCGCCUAGUUCUUUUCAUCAUUCUAACUUCAACAGCCUGGAUCUCUUCUAUAGUUUCCUCAUGAUAAAACAUCCACUCUAACAAGCUUUGGACCCAAACAACAUAAAUGGUGUCAUUGUCUAUCCCAUGAAGACCAAGCUUGUCCUCAAGGUUGCAAACUGUCAUCCAUGACAUCCAAUACUUCCAGUUCUCAUAUACUUUGUCUAUUACUCUGGUGUAGCAAUAAAAAAUCAAAUAACUCGAAUGGACAAUUGAAACCAACCCCUUCCUGUUAUGUUUGUUCUUGUACCAAGCUACUUCAAAUGCAAAAUAAGCAAUAAGACUCAACUUUACAUAUAACUUGCUAAAAGUAUCAAUUAGCUCACACAGCUCCUUCAACUCAACUUUCAUAAUCAAAGUCAUGGUGUCAUUAUAAACUAAAUGGCCAGGGACAAGAUCAUUUGUCGCGACGUUGCUCAGAAAAAUUAUAAUCUCGUUAGCCAUAAAAUUAAGUGCAAGGCAACAUGGUGCAGAAACACAAUUAAAAAGGAUAGGCAACCUGUCUAAGAUUUCAUAGAAUGACUCCAAUGACUUACUUGGACCAACACCCAUGACAGCAUGAGCUACACCAACAAUAGCAAAGCUCUUGAACAUUUCAAGAAUGGGAGACCCUCUGUCAAUAGUCAUUCUUCUUUGCAUGAGGCACAUAUUAGCAGCAGUAGACAUGUCCUCAACUUCCUUCAAAAAAAUUAUCUGUGGAGUAGUUGAACAAAUUAUGAUAUAAUGCAUCCCAGGACCAAGUAAACUACAGGUUGAGCCAAUAUUGAGUGUUGUCUCCAUUGUGUCACUAGUGAAAACCCAUGGCUUACUACUCAUAUUUAGUUGUUGGUCAUUGGCAAGCUUUGAAACUUUAUAUGGAAUACUUCCAAUACACCUCAACUGCACUUUCCAGAUUUGAGUAACAAGUUGAUGUGUUAAUGCACCCUUUAGAUCUAAAAGAGCAGUCCCUACAAGAACCUUCAGGCAGUGACAGUAAAAAGCAGUCCCAACGGCGAUUUCAUAUGACAGGCUAACACAAUCAUCAAUCAAUGUUUGCUUGUGUGACAAACUCACCAUGCUUUGAAUAAUAAAUUAAUCCAACUUAUCAUGAUAGCCAACACACGAUUUAUGAACAGAGGACAUUGCAAGUGAAUGUUGACUCAUCGCUAUGUUAAGCUCAUUUGAUGUCUCACACAAUUUGAAUGUUACUAUCAUAGCCAACUCUUGAAUUGAAUUGACCUCAAUUAUAACAUAGUAAAGCAGUUGAUUCACAAAAUCACAAGGCAAGUUAAAAUUGGGGUUGACAUCACAGGAAAGACAAAAAUGCUUAACACUUGAACCAUCAUGAGAGGACAGUGUGCCAACAAUGUCAAAUAAGUUGAAAUCUAGCCCAAUCCCACAAUGUUGAAGGCAAUCAAAGGCAACGACAUCUAAUUUUCCAUUCAAGAGAAACAUGAUAUGUCCCAAAGCAUGAAUAUCAAUUCCACAUAACAAUCUUUUGAAACUGUCACAAGAGAAAUUUGUUUUGAGGGGCAUUUUAUCAAACAGACAAUGGGAUAACAAGCUUUUGAGACUGUCAUAAGAGAAUUUGGCUGUGAGGGGCAUUUUAUCAAACAGAUAGUGGGAUUCAUAUCCAAAAAAAUACACCAACACUAAAAAUAGGACUCACAAUAUAACACAUGGGAAUUGAGAAUUGAAACACAUGACUGUAGCUUACAGUGGUUAGUGAUGGUGAGUCAAUUGGUCCAGGGACAUAUGGGUUGGCAUGUAUCAGCCCUCCAAAAUGAACAGAAGAAACUCCAUUACUUUUUAGAUGUGUGGCUGCUAAAUGAGAUAUUGACUCAAGUGGGCCUGGAUCGUAAGGGAUGGUGUUGAAUAGUAGUGCAUCUCCGAUAAUGUUGUAGGUAGCCUCGUUCAGGAUUUGAGGGAAGUGACCGGAGUAACAACGGUUGGGUGAGAAAUGCGGCGAAGUCCGAUACCGGAAAAGACACUGUUGAAACCAUCUGCUACCCACAUCGUCGGGUCGAGCUUCAUGAAAACCCUAGGAACAGGGACCUUCAAUUGCUCGUUGAGAUAUGAGGAUAACUCGGAAGUAAGGUUAUCUUCGAACUUGAAUUUCACAACAUCAACGUUAUAGCCCACGAGAUCCGAAUCUAUGUUGGAUGGGAUGAAGAUUGGAACAACGGUUUGAGUUUCAGUUGGGGUACUCGAAUCAGCAUCAUCAUUUUCCUCGACAGGAUUUUCAUCAUCGUCUUCAUCCUAGGGACGAUAACGUCAUUUUGAUCCGUCGAAGCAGAUUGGGACGACGACUCCUCGUCGACGUCAUCUGGUACCGGUAAAAUGACUCGCCAUUCAGGACUUCUUACUCCCUCAAAAUCCGACCCAUUUUUCAUUUUUUUUAAUUAUUCAUAUUCUCGGAAAAAUCUGAAAGCACCAGUUUUAUUUGAUUUCUAAAAUUUUUUGAUGGUAUUUUUAAAUUUUUAUGAUUUUAUUUGAUAGGUUUUUAGUAUUUUUUACUUCGUUUUUUUGUGGUUUUUAAAAGCAAAAUUUAAAACUGCUAAAAUAUGAGAGAUUCAUGAAAUCCGGAAAUCUCAAGAGCAUUUUUGAAAGAAAAAAAACGCAAAGGCGCGCGAGAAUAAGGUGGAAAAAAUAAUAAUAAUACUCUUAAUUUGAAGCUAAAGCCACUCACCUUCUCUUCCUAUACAGCUUCCAGCACAUACACGAUGUUUCUCUACACUCUACACGGUCUAUAUGUUUUGAUUUUGAUUGAACUAAGGAUGCUUUAUGUUAUUUUUUUUUUUCAUGACUUGAGUUUUAUUUUAAUUUGAAGUAUUUUAUAGUUUAUAUAUGAUAUUUUAGGUCAUAUUUUUUUUUGUUCUUGUAUCUUACGAUACUCGAUUCAAAAAAGUGGUCGGACAAUACGUAUCCCAAUUUGACUAUCAUGAUAACAUGUGACAAACGAGCCUUUGUUUCAAAUUGGAAUCUAAAUGCAUUCAUUGUUUCAACAUGGAUGCUUGAUUAUAUUAUUAUCAUCAAUCUGUCCCACAUGCGCUUUCUCUAUCAAAAUAUAAUGUAUCAAAUCAAAAAAUAUCUUCACAACUAACGCAAUUAAGCUAAAGACAUAAAGCAUCAAUGCAUGCUUUCACGUAGGGACCAGAGUACUCAACAAAAGUAACACAUGAACAUGUUAUUAUAUGUGGAUAUAUCCAAGCAUUACUGAAUGAUCAUCAGAUAAUUUACAAACGAUGAAAAGUACAAUAAUCAAAUAAGUUCUGGGUUUGGAAUUUGAAUAUAGAAAUACAAUGCAAAUACAAUGCAUAGUUAUGUACACAGUCAGUGUGUGACUGAAAUUUGACACAAUGUAUCUGUUUGUAUCAUAAAAUAGCGAACAAAUACGAAUGUUACGUGCAUUGUCUUUGAAAACUAAGGAAAAGGGCAUUCAGCUAGUGUUUUAGUCCUUUAAUCUUCCUGAGUUCCUCCUCAUCUUAUCCUUCCGCACGUACAUUUUUGAGUCGAUGACUUAAGCAUUGCUCAUCUUGUUCUUACCUCCAAAGGCCCAGUGAGGCUUGGCAGGAGUGCGUUUGAAUGACUUCACUCCCAAUGGGUUGUUCUUGCCCUGUGAUCAAACACAUAAAAUUUGGAUAAGCAAAAGUGAAAACAAUUCAUACAAAUUUGGAUAAUUCCCGAUAAAACAGCUAAAUUAAGAGCUUGUUCUACCAGUUCUUUUCCCAUAAGAAUUUAACUUUGUUUGGAUAAAGUCGAAUUGUUUUUAUUCAAGCUAUAAGUUGUAUUCUUAAGUUAUUCUGAAGAGCUUAUGAAAAUAUUAUGAAAACAAGUAAUAGACAUGUUAUAGGCUAUUUUCCUAUGUUCUCCCAAACAGUCUCAGUAGAUAAACUCAAAUAAUAUAAUCCAAAUAGCUUAUUAGUUUAACUCUGCAUAGUGCAUAAGCUUUUUAUAAAAAAUUUAUAGGCUAUCACAGAAAACUUAUGACAAUAAUCUGAAACCAGCUUAUGGAUAUAUUAUAAGCUAUCUUUAUAAGCUCUUCUAAACAUAAUAUGCAUAAUGCAUCUCAAUUUUUUAAGAAAACUAUCUCAUUUAACUCAAGUUACAAACACUUAUCAUUGAAAAAUUGUUUUCUGCUAAAACUUUACCAUAUUUUAACUGAAAAGAUAAAUUAUAAUUCCAAGUGAAAACCCAAUCAAAAAAUGCAAGCAGGUAAAAGAUAAGGUUGACUUGGACAUACCUUAAGACAAAGUCCAGCACGGGUGUCACAGACAGGAUACUCAUGAGGGCAGCAACUGUAGUGAUCAUCACAGCAAGUAGCAGACUCAAGAGGACAGCAUCCCCACUCAAAGCAAGAUCUUCCAUACUCGUAAAUACAGCAACAAGUAGAGCCUUCAGCACAGCUGUAGUAGCUGUCACAGACAGAUGGUGGCUUUAUAGGUGAAGGUGGCGAUGGUCCAGGGUUAGGGGGGUUCUGCCCAUUCUUAAUUGGAUAAGAUGGCUCGAUCGCAAUUCCACACUUUCCUGCUCUGCUUGAAGCUAGAUUACGUUCGAGUCUGAUGUAACCUUGUUCUCCCCAGCUACCACCCCAUGAAUUUCUCACAAUCCAAUAAUCUUUACCGUUUUCUGUACCGUAUCCAACAGCUGCAACACCAUGGUCUAGUGCUGUUCCACAUCUACCAGUAAAU
rnacentral:lncRNA from 1 species